UGUUGCUUCACUCAUUGAAGCAUAUCCAUCCACUUCUUCCCCUCCAGUUAUUGGUGGCUCAAGCACGUAAAAGCUAUCCAUUUCUCUCCAAACAUCGUUGUUAUUCAUUUCUCACUCUAAUGCUUCAAAUAUGUUAGUUUGACCUUCUGCACCAAGUCCAUUGGCUCUAUGUUUUCCAAAAACAAUGUCCAACUAUUUGUAGAAUGGAAAAGACUUGUUUCUCAAUCCUUUGCAUUAGAAUGACUAUGUGAAAAUAAAUAUAAAUCAAAUUUUAAUACAUUUCAAUGAUUACAUGAUAACAUUGAAAUUUUACACUUACAUUUACCCAUUCAUGAAAUAUAUAUUUUUCUACUUCUAUGCAUUUUUCUUUAUCAUUACGUUCAAAAUCGCUGCAAUUUGGACCUAACAUUUCAACUAUUGCAUUGUACAUCUUCUUCAACAAUUUAACUCUACACUGUAGGUAUGGUGGUGUGGUUGAGCCUUAACUCUAGACUAGCUCUAUGGAUACUUUAGACUCUAGACCUCUGUGUGUGAAGUUCAUAGUUAGAAUUUUUUUUCAGCCAUCCAUUUCUCUACGUGAUUGAUAUCCUUUCAUCUAAUCAUUUAAAUGAUAUCAUUGUCCUCUAUAAACUGCCAACAAUACAGUUCAUCCUAACUUGGGUUGUUCACUCGCAUCACCAAAGUUAUUGUUCAUUUUUUUCAUUCACUUGUCAUUAGAAUUUGUGCUUUAAAACCUCGUAAGUAAUGUGUUAUUAAAUAAUUAUUUACUUACUUUAUUUUCAAUAUUAUACUAUACAUUACAUGAAAACAAUUUAGAUAAUAGCAACAUAACUACCAUAUGUAUGUGCCAAGGAACAAGAAGUUAUACAUCAAUCUCCACUAUAAAUAUGUCUUACAGUCUCAUAUGAUGUAAUUUGAAUUUUACUCACGAACACCCUACCAUUCACACUCUUUUACUUAGAUUUCUAAAAGUUUUUAGCUUUUUAAUCCCUAUAUAUAUAUAUAUAUAUAUAUACUGAUUUAAAUCUAAAAAAACAGUCCCUUGGUUUCACGCUCUUUCACUUGAAUUCAAAUUUUUUUAAAUUGGAAGUUCUGUCAUAUACAAUACAAGACAUGUAAAUCUCUACAAUGAACUUAUCAUGUAAUAUUAAAAGAAAAUUUGAAGACAGCAAUGGUGGAGAAAAAUAUAUUCAUGUUUAAUAUUCAGUUUUAUAAACUCCCUUUAGACAAACCAAUGAACAAAAAAAAUUUAAGGAAAAAUCAAAGGCACUGUUCCAAAUGUAGAUAUGCAACCCCACAUAAUAGCAAACUCUAGCCAUGGAUCACUCAUCCAAGUUAAUAAUGAUCAAGCAAGGUUCUUGAUUCUUGGGUGUAAACCAAACUAAACUUACCUUGGAUCUGGCAGUGUAAUAGUUAAUUCAUUAGUUGAACUUGAUUUGUCUUUACUUGAGCUAAUUUUCCUUGAAAUGGCUUCAUUUUCUAUGAAAAAACCAGGUUGUUUCGGUUGCGACAAAGGAAUUUCACAACCUAACAUCAUAAUCACCGAUGACAUUGUGGGUCGAUCAUCGGGAUUUUGUUGAACACACAACAAACUGAUGUUGAUACAUCUCAAUACCUCCGAAAUUAUGCACAUUUCUCGAAUGGCGUCGUCGAUCAAUUCCUCUGGAUUUCCUUCUUUCCACAAUCGCCAAGCCUAUUACACCAGAAUUGAAGAUGAAGACAAAUUUUCAAUCAAAGAAUUUUGAACAGAAGAAUGUUAAUAAAAAAAUUAAUCCUUGGGACUUACAUAUGCAAUAACAUUUUGGUCGUUCAAGUGGCAGAAACUUCUACUCCUUUUUCCACUAAUGAUCUCCAACAACAAAAUGCCGUAACUAAAAGCAUCCGAUUUUACUGAGAAUCGUCCAUCGAAAGCAUAUUCUGGUGCCAUGUAUCCACUGUUGAAAGAUAAAAUUGUUUAAGAACUAGAAUUUGACAAAGCACAAAGACAAGAUGUCUGAGGAAAAUAUUAAUGAACUCUUACUAAGUUCCAACCACUUUUAUUGUUCUCCCUUCAGUUUGAUCUCCACCACAAGUUUUAGCUAGACCAAAAUCAGAAAUUUUGGGAUUCAUAUCCGUAUCAAGUAAAACAUUACUUGCUUUUAAAUCCCUAUGUAUAAUCCUCAAUCGAGAAUCUUGAUGAAGAUACACGAGUCCUCUAGCAAUUCCACAUAUAAUGUGGUAUCGUUGUGACCAAUCUAAUAAUUGACGUUGUGUUCGAUCUGUAAAUUUUAAAUUUACUUAGUUUCGUGGAAUGAAGGAUGAACACUAAGAUACAGAAUGUGUGCUUCAAUUAAAUGUGACAAACUAAAAGAUCGAAAUUUGUAAGCAUCCUUACCAAAUAUAAAGAAGUCCAAACUUUUGUUUGGCAUAUACUCAUAAACUAACAUUUUCUCUUCUCCUUGAAUGCAGCAACCAAGAAGUUUUACAAGAUUUCGAUGUUGAAGUUUUGCAAUCAGGAUUACUUCGUUCUUAAAUUCGUUCAUUCCUUGUCCAGAACUCCGCGAAAGUCUCUUCACUGCAAUAUCUUGUCCAUUUGUAAGCUUACCCUGAAAAAUUCAAAAUUUUCUACAUGUUUCUGAUUUGAAAUGAAUAAAAAGUGUGCCUCAGAUCAGUUAACAUUAAAUUAAAUACCUUAUAUACUGGCCCAAAGCCACCUUCUCCCAACUUAUUAUCAAUCGAAAAGUUAUUUGUGGCACUAUUUAUCAAGGAUAGAUCAAACAAGGGAAGCUCCAGAUCUUGAGCUUCUAUUUUCUCAUGGUCAUCUGCAAUUUGAUGGUCUUGUCAAUGUUGACAUUUAUAUUGAGUAACAUUGACUGAAUUAAGAAGGUUUCAGUCUAUUCAAGCAGACAAGAUGAAACUUGGUUGAAAAGAACAAUCAAUCUACAACAAUUUAUUUGCUCAUUAUUGAAUAGUGGAAUGAACUUGAUGAAAAAAAUUGUCAUGGAAAAUUUUUUGAAGGUCAUGUAAAUAUGUUUACAAAUGGUGCAAAACGACCAUCACGAAUAAGGAUUUGGGCAUAGAAAAGUAACCUUAUAUUUGAACAAAGAUUUUAGGUAUUUAGGCUAUCUUCUCAAAAUUUGUUUCAAUUUAGGCAUUUAUGUUUGGUUGUUUCUUAGUAUUCCAGUUAUCCAUUGAAAGAAGAAUAUUUUAGGCUGCCAGUAAAGUUAUAAUUGCAGCAAGUGUGACAAUUACGGUAAUAGGAUUGGUAUUAGAGGAAUAUUAGAGAUACAUUAGAAAUUAGAAAGGGAGUUUGUCAGAGAAGUUGGUUUAUAAAUAAAGGAGAGGGAAUUCGGAAGGUAAGCAAUAUUUUGGGUAAAUGCAUUAGGCCUUGAAAGUUAUCUCAAGAUUGAGAGGGUUCAAGUACCUCGAACAUUUGGCUUAUCUUGUAUUUCCAUUACCGUUUAUCUUUCAAUAUGGGGUUCUAUCGUAUGGUUUGAGAAAUAAUUACCUUUGACGGUUGAUCUCUUUUUGAAAAUGUAUAGGCCUAUGAAGAGGAUAGCCAAACCUAAACUGGGAGCAAUCACAGCCAAAGAAAUCUUCAUCUUAGGCUUCAAUCUAUCAGUUUUUUGUACCUCCCCACGCUUGACUUUUCGCCAUCAAAGAAAAAGUGAAACAAUUUGUACAUAUUAGGAAACCAAAUCAAUGUAGCUGUCACGUUUGAAGCACUGAAAAUUUAAACAUGUUCUUUUACCUAAUUCUGAUGCUAGCAUUUUAACAUAUAAAUCCUGUCCUGCGUCCGGAAUCAAUUUCAAGUCGAUUAGAUCACCAAUCCACAAGGCACAGCCACUGCCACUCCCACUGAUGUUUGUAUUUGCAUAAGCCAUACAAGAGCAAUUACUCAAGCAUUUUUGCUUGCACUCUUCAAGAUCCAUGCUUUUGUUGACCCAAGUACGCUUUGUGUCUGGCAAUUUCAGCUGGUUGAGCGGUGCAAACCCAACUUCAUCCCCACAGUUUAUCAGUUUGUUUCGUUCACAACCGUCUGCAAAUUCCCCCGCCGUCCAACUAUCAGGUGAUCUUGGCUUAAACCCUUCUAGACAUUUACAAGAUGGAGUUACCCUUAUAUCACAAUACCCAUAAGGGCCACACAGGGCAUAAUUGUCACAGAAAUCUCUUGGCAAUGAAGUAUAAAGUCUCCACUGUCUCUCGGUUGCAGACCACAAGUACAUUAUGCGCAAGUAAUUGGAUUGGUUCAUCACCACCAUCACAGUAUGGGACUUAUUUGGAACAGAGUAUUGGUAGUAAACUUCAUCCUCAUUUGAAACAAAGUUGAAGUUCAGAAUUGGUGCAAUACCUAGUGGUCUACUGGUGACUCUCACACCAUUCCAUGGGCCAUGCCUGAAGUAUUCUUGUGAACCUUUCCACAUGACAGAUUCAGGAUAUUCAUGAAGCUCCAUCCUCCAACUGAGGUUUCCAGGUGAUGGGUCAUUCGGAUUCUUCCAAGCGUCUAAUCUUCUAUUAAUGUUAUUUCUCAAGUCCCAACCCAGCUUCAUUCCAGGCAAGAGAGUGUCAGUGGGGUAAUCAAAACUUUGCCAGGAGUAGUUUAAGGGAUUUUCAUCUUUCCUAUCUCUCAGCACAAGAUUUCCAGUGUCCAAUAAUUGGAGUACCCCAUUGGGGAUUUUUCUCAGCAACCUGGCGGACCAAACAAUGGCGGUGGAAUCAUGGCUGUAAAGCGUAAGAUUUCCUGUUGUAAUGUUCAUCACCAGUACACCAGAUGAAUCAUUGAUUGGGGUGUUCCUAUUCGCAACCCAAACGGAGGUCGGACCUCGCCGAUUCUUGAACCAAAUUCCCAAGUAACGAUCUCUCGAAAGACCGGGACUGAAGAAACCCAAUUCGAAGUUUCCAUUACUGGAAACAAGACUAAAGCCAUCUUUGAGAUAUGGGUCUUGAGCAGUUAAGGAAUCAGUGGCAGCAACAUAAGUGAAGAGAUAGAGGAGUAAGUUAAAAGCCAACAAUGCUGGAGGGAAAGAGUCCAUAUCGAUGGGGCGGCCAUGAGUAUUCACUUCAAAUAAAAUACAGAUGGUGUUGGAAGAGAAAAAACACUGUUAUGUGUUCAAUGGGGUCGUUGUAGACCGAUUAGCACGGCAAUUUCCAAAGGCAAUUUCCAAUGGGGUCGUUAUGUUGACGUUGAGUGACUGGAUUUUUUCUUCAUCUUUUGAAAAUGAAGCCAUCAAGAAGGGAAUUGAACGGUUCUUCGAGUGGACUUGGUUCUAGAGACGGCAGCUGUGGACACGUGAAUACAAACCUCUUGGUUUGACAUCAGGAAAUGGACUUGCCAAUCAAUCAAUCAAUCAAGAGACCUAUAUUGUCGAUUUAUUUCGGAGUAAUUGACAGAUAGUCCUAUUUGAUUUUGUGAUAGAUAUCCAUUUUCCAUAUUUUCGGGUAUUACGUCCGUCCAUUUGGAGAACACAAUUGUGUGUAUCCCAUUUUAUCUCACACAUAAAAAUUGAAAAAAAAUAAUAAAAAUGAAUUUGCUGACUAAUUAUGAUUCAUCAGUUUGAUAUAAAACACAAACAUCGAUGUUAUAUCAAAUGCUGCUGAGUGUUACUUAAGAAAAAAAAAAAGAGAAAUUGAAGUCCAGAAGGCUGGGAGGAAUUUCUAUAUUUGGCCCAAUAAGUUUUUAGAUAUAAAAGAUUGACAUGCUUUUUUCAAAAUAACGCUAAUUUAUGGUUUUCUUUUUUAAUUAUUAUAAUUGAGUACGAAUAAAAAAUAAAUAAAAACUAUUUUAAGAAUAAUAAUUAAGGAUAUUAUAUCAACCAUUGGAUAUAAAUAUAAUAUAAAAAAUUCACACAUUAACAGCCGAACAAAAUUAUAACUCAUGGUGUCCGAAUUUGGACAACUAAAUCCACACGACCACUAUGAUAACAAAUUUGAAUCUUCACGUUUAAUUUGUCAUAUAAUAUUACAAGAAACAAUGUAUUGAUAUUAUUAGGCAGUUUGCUAAUCUCCUUCUAUAAAAAAAAAAGAGCUAAAUGAACAAAAAAUAUUUCAAGGCAAAAACAAAGAACCUUUUCCGAGUGUGAGAUUCACACCUCAUAUCCAGGAAACAAACUCUAGCAUUUAGUGUUCACUCGUUCACGCUAACACUUGAUCAACCAAGGUUCUUAGGCUUAGCCUUGAACUAAACUAAAAAACCUCGACUGUUCUUACCUUGGAUCUGGGAGCGUAACAGUCAAUUCAUUAGUUGACGUUGAUUUAUCUUCACUUGAGCAUCUUUUCAUUUCAAUGCCUUCAUUUUCUAUGAAAAAUCCGGGUUGUUUUGGUUGUGACAAAGGAAUUUCACAGCCUAGCAUCAUAACCACCGAUGACAUUGUGGGUCGAUCAUUAGGAUGUUGUUGAACACAUAACAAACUGAUAUUGAUACAUCUUAUCACUUCCGAAAGGCUGCAUGUUUCUCGAAUGGCAUCAUCGAGCAAUUCUUCUACAUUUCCUUCUUUCCAUAAUCGCCAUGCCUAUCAUUCAAGAAAUGUAGGGUUGAAUUUUUUUUCCAAUCAUAAAACUUUGAAUAGAAGAAUUGUAAUAAACAACUAAUACUUGGCACUUACAUAUGCAAUUAGGUUUUGGUCAUUCAAAUGGCAGAAAGUUCUGCUUCUUUUCCCACUAAUGAUCUCCAGCAACAAAAUGCCAUAACUAAAAGCAUCAGAUUUCACUGAGAAUUGUCCAUCAAAAGCAUAUUCUGGUGCCAUAUAUCCGCUGCAAAAAUAAAAAUUUAAGAAUUCAUGAAUUUAACAAAGCACGAAAACAAAGAUGUUUGAGAAAAAUAUUGAGGUUUCCUUACUAGGUUCCAAUCACUCUUAAUGUUCGUCCUCCCGUUUGAUCUCCACCACAAGUUUUAGCCAGUCCAAAAUCAGAGAUUUUUGGAUUCAUAUCCAUGUCAAGUAAAACAUUACUUGCUUUUAAAUCUCUAUGUAUAAUCCUCAAUCUCGAAUCUUGAUGGAGAUACAUGAGUCCUCUAGCAACUCCACAAAUAAUGCGAUACCGAUUUGACCAGCUUAAUAAUUGUCGCUGUGUUUUAUCUGUCAAUUUAAAAUUUACUAAGUCCAGUAAAAAUGAAAGGUAAACACCAAGACACCAUAUGCUUCAAUUAAUAUGGAAAACUAAAAGAAUGAAAUUUCAAAGUAUUCUUACUAAAUAUAAAGAAGUCCAAACUUUUGUUUGGCAUAUACUCAUAAACUAGCAUUUUCUCAUCUCCUUCAAUGCAGCAACCAAGAAGCUUUACAAGGUUUCGAUGUUGCAGUUUCGCAAUCAGGAUUACUUCAUUCUUAAACUCAUUCGUUCCUUGUCCAGAACUCUGUGAAAGUCUUUUCACUGCAACAUCUUGUCCAUUUGUAAGCUUACCCUGGAAUUCAAACUUUUAUAUAUAUAUUUCUGAUUUUUAAAAAAUAAGAAGUGUGGGCCAAAUCAGUUAACAUAAAAAUAAGUACCUUAUAUACUGGCCCAAAGCCACCUUCUCCUAGCUUAUUAUUAAGUGAGAAGUUAUCUGUGGCACUGUUAAUCAAGGAUAAAUCAAACAAGGGAAGCUCCAGGUGAUGAGCUUCUAUUUUCUCAUGGCCAUCUGCAAUUUGAAGGUUUCGUCAACGUUUACAUUCAUUUUGAGUAACAUUGACUGAAUUAAAUUGAAUUAAGAUGAAUUCAGUCUAUUGAAGCCAAAAAUGAAACUUUUGUGGCAAAAAAGGUUCAAUAUAUUGAAUAGUGUGUAAACGGGAUUAAAUAAAAAUUAUCCUGGAAAAUGUUUUGGAAGUUCACGAAUAAGGAUUUGGUUAAAAAAAAAGUAACUUGAAAUUGCAACCAAGAUUUUAGUCUUUAGGCUACCUUUCUCAAAUUUGAUCAAUUUUGAAUUUUGGCAUCUUGACUGUUUCUUACUUUCUCAGUUCAUCAAUAUCCAUUGAAAUAAGAGUAUUUUAGGCUGAACGGCAGAAUGUGUCAAACAUGUUAGUUUGAGAAAUAGUAACGAUUACCUUUAAUGGUUGAUCUCCUUCUGAAAAUGUAUACGCCUAUGAAGAAGAUGAUAGCCAAACCAAAACCGGAAAUUGCAAACAAAGCAAUCUUCACUUUCGAAUUCAAUCUUCCAGUCUUGUGUGCUUUCCUAUGCAUGACUUUCCCAUCAAAGGAAAAGUUAAUCAAUUAGCAUAUAGUAUACAUUCAAAUCAAUGUUUAUUUGUUGUACUACAUGUGAAGCAUUGAAAUUUACAUUAGCUUUACCUAGUUCUGAUGCCAGCAUUCUGACAUAUAAAUCCUGUCCUGCAUCGGGGAUCAGUUUCAAGUCAAUUAGAUCACCAAUCCACAAGGCACAACCACUGCCACUGCCACUGCCGCUAAUAUUUGUAUUUGCAUAAGCCAUACAUGAGCAAUUUCUCAAGCAUUUUUGCCUGCACUCUUCAAGAUUCAUGCUUUUGUUGACCCAAGUAUGCUUUGUAUCUGGCAACUUCAUCUGGUUGAGAUGUGCAAACCCAACUUCAUCACCGCAGUUCAUCAGUUUGUUUCGUUCACAACCGUCUGCAAAUUCCCCAGUUUUCCAAGUAUCAGGCGAUCUUGGCUUAAACCCUUCUAGACAUUUACAAGAUGGAGUUACCCUUAUAUCACAAUAACCAUAUGGGCCACACAGGGCAUAAUUAUCACAGUAAUCUCUUGGCAAUGAAGUGUAAACUCUCCACCGUCUUUCAGCUGCAGACCACAAGUAUAAUAUGCGCGUGUAAGUCGAUUGGUUCAUCACCAACAUCACUGAAUGAGACUUAUUUACAACAGAGAUUUGGUAGUAAACCUCAUUCUCAUUUGAAACAAAAUUGAAGUUCAAAAUUGGCGCUGCAGCUAGUGGUCUACUACUGAGUCUCACACCAUUCCAUGGGCCAUGCCUAACGUACUUUCGGGAACAUUUCCACAUGACAGUCUCGGGAUAUUCAUGAAGCUCCAUCCUCCAACUGAGGUCUCCAGGAGAUGGGUCAUUGAGAUUGUUCCAAGCCUCUAAUCUUCUCUCAAUGUUAUAUCUCAAGUCCCAACCUAGCUUCAUUCCAGGCAAGAGAGUAUCAGAAGGGUAAUCAAAGCUUUGCCAGGAAUAGUUUUGGGGAUUUUCAUCAUCCCUAUCUCUCAGCACAAGAUUUCCAGUGUCCAAUAGUUGGAGUACCCCAUUGGGGACUUUUCUCAGUAACCUGGCGGACCAAACAACAACAGUGGAAUUAUGGCCGAAGAGUGUAAGAUUUCCUGUUGUAAUGUUCAUCACCAGUACACCAGACGAACCACUAAUGGGGGUUUUCCUAUUGGCAACCCAAACAGAUGUUGGACCUCGGCGAUUCUUGUACCAAAUUCCCAAGUAACGGUUACUGGGAAGUCCAGGACUAAAGAAACCCAAUUCAAAAGUUCCAUUAGUAGAGACCAGACUAAGGCCAUCUCUGAGAUAUGGGUUUUGAGCCGUUAAGGAAUCGGAGAUUGCUGCAGACCUGAAGAGAAGAAGGGCUAAGUUAAAAGCAAGGAGUGUUGCAGAAAAAGAGUCCAUAUCGAUGGGCAGCCAUGAGUGUAACUAUAAGCCUCAAUAAAAUAGUGAAGGUGUUACAAGAAAAUGUGAAAAGUUGUAAGGAGUCGUUGUAGACCAAUUAGCACGAUACUCACCAAAGGAACACGAUGAAUGACUUGCUUUUUCUUCUUUGACAAUGAGGGCAUCGACAAGGAAAUUGAGCGGUUAUUGGAGUGGAGUUGGUCGGUAUGAAUGGCAGUAGUCAGCUGUGGUGACCGCUUGUUUUGUCGUCAUUCUAUCAAGAAAUGACUUCGGCCAUGGAAAAUUAUCGGUUAACUUGAUAAUAAGACUAAAGCCUAUCCCUUUCUUCCAGAAGCUAAUAAGAAUUUAGCUAAGUAGUUGUUCUUAGAUUUAGUUUUUCUAAAAGUUUCUCAAUUUUUUAACAAUUAUAAAAAGUAUUCUUCCAUAUUAAUAUUUUAUACAUAUAUUUUCCAAUUCUAAUUCAUGUGUUACUGAUUAAAUUGAAAAUUCUUUGACCAAUAUGAGCAUCAAAUAAAUGUAUACUAUGUGAAAGUUUUUCUCUUUGUAAAAACAAAUCACUUACAUUGGCAUGACAUGAGCAGGAAAUUGAUCUUCACCUUCAAACUCACUCUCCGUCGUGGCCAAUUGGGUGAAUUGAUUGAUUGCCUGUGUUGGUGGAGCCCGUUCCAAACUCUGGUUGAAAUGCCUUGUUUUCUUGUCGCAUUGCUUGACCUUGUUAGAAUGCUUGAGAAGAAGAAAAAGUAGGAGCUGUGUAGAUGGGGUUUUGAUCCAAUUGGGCUUGGUUUUCACAUGUCAUAUUUGGAUUGCAACUCCAUUCCGAGUUAUAGUUGUUGUCGUAGAGAACAUGCCUUUGACUACAACCUCCCUUUUCAAUAUCAGAAAUCAUCAUAUAAGUUAAAUUUGAAAUUUGAGAGUCAAGUUCUCUUGGCUCUUCUAUUGAUAUUUCUAUUUCUUCUUACAUUUUCUUCCAAGCCAUCUUGGUUUUGAAAAUUAUUUAUCAAUAGUCUCUUCUUCCUUUAUAAAAAAAUCUAAUCUUCUUUUCUAAAUACACUCAAACGAAUCUGUAUUAAUAAGAGAAGAAGAAAGGUCAUGCAAUACACUUAGAGAUAAUAAAUUUUAUCAAACAACUAUUUUUCGACUUUUCUUACAAAUUGAAUUGAAGAUUCAAGAAAUCUAAAAAUCAAGAAAUCAAGAUUCAAAAAAAUUUGCAUAUGCCUAGCUCCUCAGCAAUGACCCAUUAAGAAUGCAAAAGGUGUACACAAGAAUAUGUAAGAAUUAAACGGAGGGAAACGCAAUUGCAAUACAAGUAAUCAAUAGAUAAAAAAGAUUAAGGAAUUGUAAAGGAAAUACAAAUGGGUAAUAACCUACCAAAAACAAAAAGAAUCCUUCAAGUAAAUUUAUAAACUCAACUUCCAAUGAAUUAAUGGAGUAAAGGUAAGACGGGGUUGUACCCAAUGGAGCUAUAUUGAUAAGAAAUUUAUGAAACAAGAUCUUAAAAAAGAAAAUUAGUAAUCUCAAGAAUCUAAAAUGAAUUAUUGUAGUAAAAUGAGGGUGUUUAUGGAACAACAUGCUCAAAAAAAUGAAAGUAACAUCGGUGAUAAUUGUUCACUUCAAGAAUCAAUCAAUCAACAAAAUUGCAAAGAGAUUUUCUUUCAAGGUUUAAAGGACAAGGAAAUUAUUAGAUAUGCAUUUGUCCAUUCCAAUCAUAGAUUAAAUAAGUAGUUGCAAGAAUUAUGAUCCUUGAUCAUAUUCAAGAGAUCAAAAGCCUUAUUUGACCCCAUGAAUUAAUUGCCUCAAUACAAUGAUUAAUAUGCAAGACUUACACAUAAUCAUAGUAAAUCAAGUUCUAAGCGUUUCCAUUUUAGCAAUUUUCACACAAGAAUAAUUAAACAUGCAUUAUGAUCAGGAGGUAUCAAAUCAAGUCUUGUUAGAAUGUGAAAGCCACUACUCCCAUACUAAUUAAUGAAGUCUUGAUUUUGUGCUAGGGUUGCUAGUGAGCAUUUUAAUUGAGAGAUUUUUGGUGCAUUUUUCUUCUAGAAUCUUUCCUUGAGAUCAAGUCAAAUGGUUCUUGCUGAAUCAACAAAUAAGAGGUUUAUUGAGAUGGGUUUGAUACAAAGUUUAGUAUCCAGGAAAUGGCAAUGUGUUGUUGUUUCUAACCCAAGCUAGGAGAAGGUCAUCAGUUGGGUGGGUGAGGGAUCCAUCAAUGAAUCUGAUUUUAUUAUUCACAGAAAGGGUGAUGAUCAUAGCUCGACUCCAAGGAAACAUAAUUUUCUACGUAUGUGUUAUCGUUGUGGUAGUGUAGAAAAUAGGGGUUUAGGUAUCUUUGAUUUUGAUCAAAGGAAGUUUGAGGAGAGGUAUCAAACUGACUGGGAAUAAAAAAAAUUUAGAUUUCCGAUGAGGUCUGUGGGGGGUUGGUGUCAACAAGGAAGGGUUGUCAUGGUGGUUAUGGAGGUUUAGAUGCUUUGGCGGAAGAUGGUGGAAAAUGGUUGUGCAGCCAGAAGAAUCCUUCCUUCGAAGGAAGAAGAUGAUUUAGGAGGAAAGAGUUCCAACAGAUACCAUAUUAAACAGAUUUGGGAAAAAUACUUGAUUUUUAACGUAUCGACAAAAGAUCUUAACCAAUAGCAAAAGUGUUAUUUACUUCUAAUAACAAGCUAUUUACAAUAGAAAAAGAGCAAAUUAAUACACCGAAUUUGUGUUUAUAUAUCUCAAUAUUUCAGGGUUGUUUUUGAAUAUUUAACCAUGUAAUCUAGAAUUUAGAUAAGUAUAUUUAUUAUUAAUAUUGAGUCAAAUGAAUGCUACAUAUUUAUAUCCAUAAUAAACUAAUCCCCAGAGACAUGUGAUCUAAUAACAAAUCAAACUAAAAUAUAUUAAGAUUUAUGGCAAAAUGGGUUGAUAUGAAUGUGAUCUCCUCUUUUUUUUACCAUCCUAAAAUUGGAUUGGAGAAUCCUAAUGCAUUGUAUCUAAUUUACUAAACUUGAGCUAUUGGAUUAUUUUUAAAAUCUCUUUACCUUUUUUUAAUUGAUAUUUAUUUAUUCAAAUAUUAGGCACGUUUUUUUAAAUUUAUUUAUAAAUUAAAUAUUAAUAUUUUUCAGACUCAUUCUAAAUAUUGUUAUACAAAUACAAUUUUCAAACCUUUUCUUUGACAGUUUUCUAAGUAAAUAUUGGGCGGUAGCUAUAGAUUGUGCGAUGUCACCUUCAAAAAGAGUUUGGAAGGCAUAAUACCUAGAUGAAUCUCAAAAAGAAACAACUGUGGGUAAAUGUUUCUUCUUCAUCAUCGUCUCUCUCUAAGAGCCAAAUUCAAACAAUUGGUUCUUGCUAAGAACCCAAGCACUAGUGCUCAAAAUCUAGCCAGAAGCAGCCUGCAGGUAGAAAUUCAUUUUCAUUUUCGGGUUUUUGCUUUGUAUUUUGUAUACUUAGGGUUCCUUUCCAUGCUGCUAAGUAAACAAACUCCCCUCUUCUUUUCCCACUUUAGAACCAAAAAAUAAAAGAGUUGAUUAAAUUUGUUGUUCUUUGUGUACAGAGAUCAUAUGUUGGAUGUACACAAGGAAAAAACAAGUCAAUACAUUGAGAAAGAAGUAUUUAGAAGUCAUUUUGAAACAAGAUGUUGGAUUUUUUUAACAUCCAUUAGCAUUUUAAGGAACACUCUUUUUUUUUAGUAACUUUUUUUUCUCUAUUUUUCUUUCCAAAAUGAAGAAAAUUAUAAAACCGAUCACUUAACUUACGUUUUUUUGGCAUAAGUAUAUUUACCUAUUUUUCAAUAUAUUGUAUUUGUGAGUGUAGACUCAAAGACUAAGUAUGUAUGGUAUUGUCAUCAUGUUUGUCUCAUUUCAUUGAGUUAAUUAUUUUUUUAGUAUAACGUAUUUGUAGAGACUCUGUGACUGUUAUUUUGCUCAAAGUAUGAACUAUAAUGUUUUGAAAAAUAUUAUGUAUUGCAAUAGUUAAUAAAUUCCUGGUGAUUAGGAUUUCGAUUUUAGAUUUUUUUAGCUGUGUAAAAUUUAGUAUGAUUUAAAAAUAUUUUAUUUUAAAUUUUUUGAAAAAUAUUAUUAUUUUAACAAAUAAUAACAAAAAUAGAGUUCAAGUGAAAGAAUUGUGAAACAUAGGUUACGUAAUCAUGAACCUAAUUCAUCCUUUUCUUGAAAUCGCUAACCAGGUCCACAAGUUCAAUGAAAUUGUGGAUUCGAUACUAAAUGGUCUCCACGUAAGUAAGUCAGUCAAAUCGUGUAAUUGCAUGAUUUGUCAUGUGCAAGUCCGUGAGUUCGUGGUUCCCAAAUCUGAAUUAUACUCCCAUUUUCUUCCAACUCUCCUCACCAUCAUUACCAUCCACCCUAUCUCAUGCAAGAUGGAUGAAUAUUUUGUUACAUUGAUCAUAUUCUUUAUACAUAAUAAUUCUGUCCAAGAUGUAACACAAUUUACUCAUGGUUUGAUUUUUAGCCAAAUUUGAAAAGAAAAUUUAUUUAUUUAUUUUUUUGUAAUUUUAAGAUGGGGAAAGAUAGAGAUAAAAACUAGUGUCAAUAGGCAUAAUUUUCAAUAAAAGAAAAUAGAUAUAGAAAGAAAAAAGGAUUGGAUAGUUUUAAUUAAUUAUUAGUUUGUGAAUUAAUAUGGUGAACAUGUGGCCAACUUAGGAUGGAGUGUGUAUUUAAUAUCAAUAUAAUAAUAUAUAUUGGCAUUUAGAACUGGCAAGCUCUGACGAAAAGGACGAUUCUACCCUCCAUAUCAAUUUGGUUAUCCCAAAGAGAACGGCAAACCCCCAGGCGCCAUUCAAAUAAUUUAAGAGUAAAAUGACGAAUAUACCACCAGAAGGAGGCUUCUCCGAAAAUCACACAACCUCCAAAUCUAAAUCUGGCGUAAUUAAUCUCCAUUAUUAUCUGUACCUUGGUUGGCUUUCCAUGGCGCUCCUUCUCCGAAACCCCAUUCACAUUCUUCUUCUGAUCUUCUUUUUCUUCUUCUUCUUCUUCUUCACUUUUCCCUCAUAAAUAUCCCCCCAUUCCACUCCCACUCCUCUUCAAUUCAAACUCAGGCCCUAAUUCCUAAUUCUAUCUCACCACCUCACUUCAAUGGCAUUUUCCGCUGAGAAAUCAGGAUUCGAGGACUGGCUGCCCACGAUGGCAGAGAGGCUGGGCGGGGAGGGCCUCAUCGGGGAGCUGUGCAAUGGAUUCAAUCUUCUGAUGAAUAGAGAGAAGGGAGUGAUUGAUUUCGAGAGCCUGAAGAGGAACGCUGCGGCGCUAGGGCUGGGGGAUCUAAGCGAUGAGGAUCUGAGAUCAAUGUUGAGAGAAGGGGAUUUUGAUGGUGAUGGUGCUCUUAAUCAGAUGGAGUUUUGUGUUCUUAUGUUUAGAUUGAGCCCUGAAUUGAUGGAAGAAUCGUGGUUCUUGCUUGAGGAAGCUCUACAUCAAGAAUUCAAGGAUUUUUGUUGAUUUCCUUUUCUUUCUUUUCUUUUCUAUUAAUUACUGAUUUUUCUUAACUCACUGAUCUUUUACUUGGAAAUUAAAUUAAAAUAAAUUGAUACUUUUUACUAACCAACUUCCAAAUUCAUCCACACUAACUUCUCUUCAAUUUUUAGCACUUGCUCAUGAAUGAAUAUAUAUAUAUAUCCGUAAAUUUGGACAUUCUUAUAAAAUAAGUAACGUUCAUAUUUUUUAUCUAUUUUAUCUUACUAAUAACAAUUAACAAUAUCUAUAACUUACUAUGGGAGCAAAAAUAAGUUAAAUAUUAAUCCCAAAAAGUUUUCUAAGCUUUUUUACUUAUACAAAAUUUGGUUAUUUCCAUACUUUUAUUGAUAUAUUUGAUAUCCCUUAGUUGGACAAAUUUUGUCUAUUAAAUUCGAAUCAAAUUAUUUAACCAUAUAUAAAAAAAAUACGUGGAUCUAAAUAAGUACCUACAUCUUUUUUUAUUUGUUUGACAAUACACCAGAAAAAAAAUGUGAAGAGGAAAACACAUACAACAAUUAAAAAAAAACUAUGAAGCAAAACGAAACAAAGUAAAAAAAAUUAUUUGAAAAACAAAUAUAAAUCAUAAUAUAGUCAUAUCCAAAUUUCCUAUAAAAUGAACGUAGAAAAAUAAAAAUGUCCAUUAUUUUUUUUCUUUAGAAGUAUUGCAUUGGGAAGAAGUGAUUUUUUUUUUUACCGAAGUUGUGUUGCAUAUAGAUAGAAGAGAGAGAUUAUGAUCUAUUUAUAUAAAAAGAUGUUCGAUAGUCAUAUCAUUUAUAGAGGGUUGUAUAUAUCAUUUCGUGAAAAUUAUUUUUCAUCUACCUUUUUAAUAUACUAGAUAUGUUUGUAAACAUAAUCACGCAUCAAUCAAAUAAACCUAAAACUAAUUUUAUUAUUUGUUUCCUCCAAAACUAACUCCGUGCUCCAAGGUGAAAUAAACUUUAUUAUUUGUUUCCUCCAAAACUGACUCGGUGUUCCAAGGUGAAAUAAAAUAACAACUCAUAUAGAAAACAAAUUUUAUGAAAUUUGAGAUAAAUAUUCUCACAAUGACUUAAUUUAAUUAAUAUGAUAAAUUUUAGAGUUAAUCAUCUAAAUAUAGAAGACACAUUAUCAUUCCUAACAAAAUAUUUAAAGUCAAGUUAUAAAUUAAGGUAAGCUUUUUUCUAAAAAAAUUCAAGGACAAAAACAAACCGUCUUAUUAUUUUAGGUACUAGAAUAAGAUACAAAAUUUAGGAAUGAAACUAUGUAGGGUAUAAAUGGUGUAUUUAUUAGGUAUAAUUUUACAUAUUUUAAAAUGAAACACAUAUAUUUUGAAAUUGAGCUGUGGAUGUAAUCUAGCGCAAGUUUAAAUGGUCAUACAAGUAGUGGUCAAUGGGCAAAGAGACUUUGUGGGAGUGGAAGAACAAAAAUGUCAUCUCAAGUGUUGUCAUUGUUUGAAUUUUGAUCUCUCAAAUGUAGUCAAAACUUAGAUUUUUUUUACUUAAUUUUUAUGGAUGACUUAAGCUCAAAUGAUUAAUGCCAAAUUGUCAAAAGAGCAUACUAACAUUGUACUAAUUAUAUACAAUAAUAGGGGCUUAACCGCUAGUAUGAGUGCAAGUGAAAGAGCGAAGAGGAACGCAAGUGUAUGGAAAUGAGAAACGAAAGUUGCUAGCAUGUGAGAACACUAUUAUAUUAUAUUAGUUGAAAGCAAGCACAAGGUAGAAACGACGAUGAAAAGCCCUUGUGCAUGGAAACACUAUUACACCAAUGGCCUAAUUAAUUUCACACUAACAAAAAUCAUGUUUUUAUUGUAUUCUGUUAAUGUCAAAAGUUUAUACUUUAUUGUUUUCAAAAUUCAGGACAAACGGCAUUACAAUCAUCAAAUUAAAGUCACCCAUACUAUUAAAUCCAAAUUACCAUCAAAAUCUCAAUUUAACAAAAGUAUAUAAUUGGAGGAUGGUCAACCAAGUUAGUUUGAAUUUUUAAAAACUUAUCAAUUUCAAUUGAUUCCUUAUUGAGUUUGAACUUCUCUUAAAAUUGAUUUCUCAUUUUUAGAUUUUGACCAAAAACUGUGUUGAACUAAAUUUCUUUCCUUCCUACUAGUAACCAAGAUGCUUACUACAUAGAAAUAGCAUAUAUUCUCUUGGGUUCGUUUUCAACACGAAAAGAAAUAUAUCAAUCAUCGUUUGUUCCAUUUCAAUUAUACCAAAAUAAAAAAUUACUCUAUUUUCAAAACUAUCAAGCCAAAGGGAAAUAUUCACAUGAACCAUCCAAGUUUUUUUAAAAAUUUUAUUAUUAAUUAUUACUUUAAAGAUGGAACUUCCAAAUCUUUUAGCAAAAGAUGAAUAGGAUUUAAAUAAUAAUGGAAAGAGAGAAAAGGAAAUUGAUCGUAAUGGAAAUUGAUCAUAACGUAUUUGUUAAUGUUGGCAAAUGAAAAAAUCAUACCAAAAGAGAUUAUCUUUCAAGAAUGUAGAAAGUAUACUCUUCUAGAAACCAAAACGUAGAAGUAAAUAUAUAAUAGAAUACCUCUACAAACGAGUCAUAGUCAAAAAAAAGAAUGCUACACAAAAGUAGUAAACGCAAUACCUCUAAACACUUCUAACACUAAUUAUAUACCUUUAUUCUACCUUCAAACCUUACAAACUUUAAAAGAUGAAGAAAUGUUUUGUAUAACUGUCAUCUCUAUCUAAUUAUUUCAUUAACACGUGCAUUUUUUUAGAAGAAGAAUAAGUUCGUGUCAGAUGUUAGAAGGAAAGAGAUCACAUAUACUUUUUGGGUUUUUACGUAUAUAGCCUAAUCAUUAAGUCUACUUUUUUUUUAUAUAUAUAUAAUUUUUUGAAAAUGUUAUAUUUUUAUAUGAUUGGUAUAAUGGAUUGCAUGUUUUUACAAAAAGUAGGGGUCCAAUUACUAAUAAGUCUAUAUUUUCAUUGAAUCAAGAGAUAUACCUGUCUCAUAUGUUCCUCUCAACAAAAAAAAGAAAAAGAAAAAAAAGUUAAAAAUAACUUGAGAGAUAGGAAAUGCAUAAGAUAAAUGCAUCAUAUGAUACACCUAACCAUUGUCAUAUUCAAAUCAUCUCAUCAUACCCGAUAUCAACUAUAUAAAAAUAGUAGAAUAUGUUUUUUUUACCUUGACAGUUUUCAAAACAAAAAAUUAUGUCUCCAAAGUUAUCGAAAUUUUAAACUUGGUCCUCAGAUGUAAAAUUGUACCGACUAUAUAAGUUUGAGAAUUUAAGUUGUGUGAUUUGUUAGUCAAAUUUUUAUAAUAAAAGUAAGCUUGAAAAGGUGUGAUUGUUGUUGUAGUAAGUGAAAGGGUAUAAUUGUAAAUACAAUCCUAAUUUUGCAAUUUUAAAAAACUAUACUUCAUGGAUUAAAAUAUAUGAAGCAAUAUGUGAGAUUAAUGUUUCGUAGAUGAAACCUGGACUUUAUGAUGGGAUUGGUGGAAACUUUAUUCUUACGUAUCAAUUAUUAAAUGUAAAAGGUAAUGCCAAAUAAUUUAAUAACAAUUUCAAUUUUUUCACACGCGACGCCAUCGUCUGCGAAAAAAUGAAGGCUAAGAAAAAUGGGAGUUGAUCGAUAAUGGCGUUGGCGCGAAGGCGAUGACUUAUUUAAUACGAAAAAAUGGCAAAGCAGGUGAACCCAUUUCUCACCUCUCUUUUCUUUAAUUCCCUUUACGUUCGUUGAAAUGGUAUGACCACGAAAUCCCCAAGAAAUUUCCAUUCUUCUUCUUGGCUUUCUUAAUGCUUCCUCUUUCACCCUACAAAACAUCCCACGCACAAACCUUCCCUCCAUAGUUGCUUCUUUUUUAAGUUACCAUUGGAUCUUUCGCUUCGUAUCUUGAAUCUCCCCCAACUAAUUCCUUUCCAGGUAUACAAGCUGUCUCUUGCUUUCCACUCCUUCCUUAAUCCUCUAUCUUUUCUCUGCAUCUGAUUCCCUUAUUUUGAUUCUCACCCUUUUUUUCUUCCUUGUUUUGGUCGAGUUCUUUUGCUUUCACAUCACACGCAAAUGGGGUCUUACCAAAAUUUGUAUAUUUUAUUCGUAAUUUUGGGGUUGUCUGUUUUUGUAACGUUUAUAAUUGCUGGAAAUUGAAGUUUCUGAUCAUCUCUUUCUAAGCGAUGGAGGAAUUUCUCUUUCAUGUUGUGUCUCGUUCAGCGGACAGAGUUAAAGGGAAGUAUGUCCACCUCCUAAAUGGUUCUAAAAUUAUAGAAGGAGAAAAUGUUGUGUCGUAAUUUGCCAAAGUUAGACAAAGGAUUUUCUUGCUACUCAAUAUUGACCACUAUAAAGUUUGUUGAUUGAUUCCAUUUGCGUUGUCUAUGGUAAAGGUCAAAACAUCGACCCUUUUGUCGUCUGGAAAAGUCAACGGUCUUUUAAUGAGUACACUAGGUGGUGCAGCGGAAUACAUUUCUACUUGGAAUUUUCUUGUUUGAAAUACUUUUCAAAUUUGAGUUGUAAGGCAUCUGGUGUUUUAAUGAUAAGUGCUUUGAGUACUAUAUUAAUACCAUGUGAAAGAUCUCUUCUCUGCAACAGGCUUUUAGCUAUGGGAAGUCUCAUGAAUGAAAUUAACUUGAAGGACUUUUACAUUCCAAACUAUAUUUUGUCAAUUGGAUCAGAGGGGGAAAGUGUUAGCCAUCUCCCUGUUUGUCCAGUUAUUGCUUUCAUUAACUCCAAAAGUGGUGGUCAGCUGGGAGGCGAACUCCUUAUCCGAUACCGUGCUCUUCUCAAUAAAAAUCAGGUAAUUUUAUCAAUGUUAAUGUAGGAUAUUAUUGCUAUUUUGAGUUCUUUAUGGUUAUGGAUGUUCAAAUUUGAGGCAACUUUCUUCAGGUUUUUGAUCUGGGAGAGAGUCGCCCUGAUAAGGUACUACAUCAACUUUAUUGUAACCUUGGCAUACUCAAGGACAAUGGAGAUCUCUUGGCUGCUCAUGUUGAAAAGAAUCUUAGAUUAAUCGUAAGUUACUUGUUAAAUCUUGAUUUCUCUUGUAUUGUCUAUCAGUGAGAAUUCGUGAUUGAGCGUCUGUUGCAAUUUCAAUUGUAAAGACCAUAAGCUCUCAAUUAUCAUCAAUCUCUACUCCUUGCUCUUAACAUGUGAUUCUAAUUACUAGGUUGCAGGUGGAGAUGGUACUGCAAGCUGGCUUCUGGGAGUCGUUUCUGACAUGAAACUGCCUCAUCCACCUUCAAUUGCUACUGUGCCAUUGGGAACGGGAAACAACCUUCACUUUUCCUUUGGAUGGGUAUCUUUUUCUUUACUACACCGUGCUUUUGAUAUUUUUUUGUCAUAUAUAUAUAUGCGUAAUAAUGAUUCCACUCAUUAUCUAUAUGCUAGGCUAUGAUCUAUGUGUUAACUGGAUUAAAUAAAAAUAUUAAUGGGUCAAAAAAUCUCAACUUGAAUGUCUUGUUCAGUAUUUGGCUUUGGAAUAUUGAUCAUUUCACGGGAAAAUUUUCUAAUGGUCUUAUCGAAUGUACACUCUGACAUAAACAAUCAUGGUUUAUUUCGUGGCAAGAAUUUUAGCAUCUUCUAAUUUUCCAAGCCUGUUAAGAAGUUUUUCUACGUAAUCACUUAUAUGAGCUGUCACUUUACCAGGCACCAUCCGAGUUGUGCUUUCUGUGUACAUUAUUCUUGGUGCCUGGACUGAUCGAAGUCUGAAUUUGAAAAGAGUAACUGUUAUUAAUUCACAGGGAAAGAAAAAUCCCGGAACAGACCGUCAAUCCGUUGAAUCAUUCUUGAGUCAAGUAAGGAGUGCAAGAGAAAUGAAGAUUGAUAGGUAAUACGUCAGACUAGACUAACACGAAAAUUCAAGCAUGUUUAUUAAAACUUUCUUUUGUUCUAGCUUGACCAACCAAUUAUGUAGUAUAAGGGUGUAGGAUGGACAUGUACUUAAAACUUUGUCAUUGUACAUUUUUAUCGAUUAAAGCAUUAUGUAAUAAUAUGAUAAAUUCUCAACUAACAUAACUAAUGCAUUGGCAGACUAAGGAGUUAUCUAGUGGAUGGAAACUUAGAUAGUUGCGCUACUCUGGUAUUACCAAGCUAUACCUUUUUAGAUCGACUAGUCAUUGUGUAAUUAAACAACUUUCUGUCAAUUUUUGGGGAGUGCUGCUUUGGCAAUAGUGUUCAGAAUUAGGAUAGUGCAAUUUUUAUCAUUGGACAUAGUUAAUGUUAUAACCAAAUUCUAUUGAAAUGGAAGACUUCAUUGGUUGUUUAAUAAGAAUGACUUUGUUAUUGUUUUCUUCAUAAACUCAAUUUUUUUCAUUCCAGCUGGCAUAUUCUCAUGAGAAUGCGAAGUCCAAAGGAAAGUUCUUCUGAUUCUAUUGCGGCUCUAGAACUCCCUCACUGUUUGCAUGCAUUCCAUCAGGUAUCUCAGCCUGACAAACAAAAUAUAGUAAACUCGUCUUGGUUCUUAUUUUAAAUGAAAAUUCAGGUUUUCAUUCUUUCCACAGCUUAUACGUUCAGCAAGUUGAAUUGAAACUAUUCUGACUCAAGCAUUAAUGCCCAUAGUCCAUCGGUAGGAAAGAAAAAUUUUCACGAGAAAAAUGAGGUGUUUCUAAAUGUAGAUAAAAAUAGUAAAAACACUCCGAUUGGUUCUGUUGAAUUCUGAAAUUAAAUUCUAGGAUUGAUUGAAUAGAAAAGUUAGAAGAACAGAAAAGAGAAUAGCUAACUGUACUUGAACACCUCAAGAAGGAACUACAAGUUCUUACGAUUGUUUUUCAAUAUAUUUGAACUAAAUGAAAUUCAACUAGUCUGCUUGAAUCAAGAUUUAAAAAGAAGUUUAGAAUAAGGAUUUCAAAACAUUAAGUUAAAAGCAACAUUAAGUACUUAUUAGUUGUUACUGCAAUUGGAGUUUGAGUUUUGGGAUGGUAUCUUAAUUGCUUAUUAGACUAAGAAGUAGAACAAAACCUAUAUUAGGAUUUCUCAAUUGCUGCAAGAAUUUACCACUUGUUUAUUUUUUUGUUAUUCUUUAACACUAGAGAUUUUCAAUUGCACAUUAGGGGUUAUGCUUGAGUUUGGUACCUUGGGGUUAGUUUUUCCCGUUAAGGCAGUUGAAUAUUUAAAUUCAGCGUUUGAAGACUGUAUUUAAAUUAUAUUUACAACUAUUAGAAAAGCUUCGUCUUUUAGUGCAGUGGGUUCCAAAAAAAAUAAUCAAUAUCAAAUAUGGCUAUCAUUGUGAAAUGUGUGUGAUUUUAUUUGGUUUGACGUUGCUUUCUAUGCUUUUUGUCUUGUUUUUCCUAUUUGCAGGACAAUUGGCAUGUAUAUCGUGGUGGAUUUUGGAAUUACUUCAGUAUUGGUAAGGAAAUUUGUGCCUUUUAACACAUUAGAAUGUGUGCCUUUUAACACAUUUUACCUAUUCACUGAAUCAACAUGUAAUGCAAUAAAAAAAUAUACGGACAUUUUCAAACAUGGCAAAAUAAAUUAAAAUAUUUACAAAAUACAACAAAAUUUCAAAUUCCUUCGAUAAUAUACUUCUAUCUGUGUCUAUUUUUUAGUAGGUAGAGAUGUUUACUUUAUUUUUUAUUGACUAAAAUAGACCGAUUGAUUCGAAAUACAUGGGUUUAGAAUCAAAUGGCUUCAUUUGAUGGAGCUUUGGGUUUAGAUAAGCAAGCCUCCAACGCUAUCAAUUACUUUUUGAUGUUUCAUCGAAAGAUGUAAGUGUCAAACUCCGCAGUCAUGAUCUUUCUACCAUGCAUCCACAUAUAAUUUCGACUUUUGAUACUGAGCGGCCAAAAAGAGAGUGACUAGCACUUUAGUUUAUUUGAUUAAGCUCUAUCCAAGAAUAGCCCUAUAGCAUAACUCUCCUACAUUAUCAUAACCAUGAUAGUAUUUAAUAAUGAUAUGGGGUCGGAAUACUAGAACUAUCCUUUUUUGAACACCAUAAUGAAACUUAACCUUUGAUAGGGUUUACUAUUGGGUCAUGCCUUCAGUGUUGUAUGAUAGUAUAAUUAUUUAUAUUAGACAUUAGUGCACUCCAUGUAUAAUGAUGAAGCUUUGCACUCCAUGUAUAAUGAUGAAGCUCUAUGUUAAUAUGCUUGCUGCUACAAGUAUACCUAAAAAUAUACCAAUUGAGUUCACCAUAAAUUUGACAAAUGGUCUAUAUUCAGGAAUGGAUGCUCAGGUAUCCUAUGCUUUUCACUCCGAGAGAAAGUUGCAUCCUGAAAACUUUAAGAAUCAAUUGACCAAUCAGGUAUUGAUUUAAAGUUCUCUUCAAGCUUGACAUGACUUAAAUUUUUUAUUAAGAUAUGUACAAAUAAAAAAAAUAAAAAUAAAAACUGUUUUUUUUUCAUUAUAUCUUUUUCACGUUAUUAGUGGGGAGAUUGAACUUGGCGGUCCUCAAUCUGUUGACAAUCCACGACAUUUCCUGCUUAAGUUGUACUAGAAUGUUGUCAGAAAAGAAAUGUAUUUUAUAUUUAUAUUAUUAUCUAGUACAAGUAGUAGUUUUGUUAGAUUUAGCUUGUUCUGUCCAUGAUUAUAUCCAUCCUACAUUAAAUGAUAGAUACCCGCAUGUUUUGCUUAUCUAUAGUUUUUCUAGGUUAUCAUGUGCUUCAAUUGUUUUAAUUGGCCUUUUUUACCAAUACUUUUGUUGUAGUAUUAAACAAUCGAUGUUUUUUUUUGUUGAGACAGAAAGCAUAUCUGAAGAUUGCUUGUAAACAAGGAUGGUUUGUUUCUCCUAUUUGUCAUCCUUCUUCCAGGUAUGUCUUUGAUUAUUUAAGCAUUAGUCACCUGCCUAGAUUGUUUAUAAUACAGCAAGUGUUACAUUCCACACCACGAUAACAUUGAUAUGAGUUGGGUGUGCAUAAACUAGCUCAAACAGCAUUCAUAUUUAUUUAAAAGGAAAAAUAUGAUAGUUUUAUUUUUACCCAUAUUUCUAGAACAUAGAUCAUGUUAUCUGAUGAACGGCUGAUAGAAUCCAGUAUAGAAUAUCAAAUUUCUAUUUGCUUUUUAUUCGAUAAACACAUAUCAUUUACAAUUUCUUUUGCCUUCAAUUGUGAGUUAGAAUGAGUUGAUGCAAUGCAGGAACAUAUCAAAUGUUGUAACGGUGAAGAUUAUGAAGAGGGAAGGUAUAUGGGAGGACAUCGUGAUUCCCUUAAGGUGAUUCAAAAUACUUUUUUUCCAAUUGUUUGGUGCUAUUUAGGGUGUGUUUGGUUUAGAUUAUAAAGUGUUUAAUUUUGCCAAAAAGAACUAUUUUGAAAAAAAAUGGUAAUGUUUGGCAAAUUAAAAUAAUGCAUUUUUUAAAAAUCCAUUUAUAAAAUAAUCUAUUUUGGAGAAAUCUUUAAAAAUCAAAUUCACAUAUAAACACUAAUAAAAAAAGUCUAACCAAACAUUAAGCCUUUAAAUUUUAAACUUAUUUCCAAAAAAAUGUUUAAAAAGAAAUGUAUUAUUGAAAACAUUUAUUUUUAAUUCAAUCCAAAUGGACCCUUAAGAUUAUGGCAUAUUUGAACUUUUCCUUCUCCACAUGGCUGAGCUGAUCUCAUGAAAAAAUGGAAUAACUGGCUUUGACACUUUUUCUUUUUAUUCUCAAAUGCAGUAUCAGAUCUAUAAUUUGUCUUAAUUUGCCAAGUUUUUCUGGUGGACUUGAUCCUUGGGGAGAUCCAAGCAAAAAUAAAUUACGUGAUGUUAGUUACUUUCUUUUUUCCCUCUUAAACCAUGAGCCGAUGUUUAGAUAUGCUGGUUUCAAUUAACAUAUUACACAAAAUUUCACGUUACAGAGAGAUCUAACUCCUCCAUAUGUGGAUGAUGGGCUUAUUGAGAUCGUUGGUUUUAGAAAUGCUUGGCAUGGACUAGUCCUACUUGCUCCAAAUGGACAUGGAACUCGUCUUGGUCAGGUAACUUCAAGCAAAACUAGAAUUGGCUUAGAUUCUAAAACAAGAACAGGCCAACAUUCAUCAUAAUUUAUCUCUUUGUAAUGCCAUGAGAAUGAAAUUAACGUUGAUUGUUCCCGUUCCUAUUAUUGAUGCAGGCAAAAAGGGUUCAGUUCGAGUUUCAUAAAGGUGCAAUUAACCAUGCUUAUAUGAGAAUUGAUGGGGAGCCAUGGAAGCAACCCCUUUCUGUGGAAGAUGACAAGGUGUCUAUAGAAAUUAGUCAUCGUGGUAGAGUCAACAUGCUCGCCAACCUACCUUGCCGAGCUAAAAGUGUGCAUGACCCUUCUUCAACUCACAGUCAUAGCAGCAAAGAUUAUGUUGACGAGGACGAUGAAUUUACAGAAGAAUACGAGGUGGUAAAGAAGUUUGGUGCAGCUUCUACCUUUAAGUAUUUUAACACGGCUGACACAGUUCAUUACCAAUAGGUUUUGACGUUUUGGCUUAUCUUGUUAUCAUGUAUAUGUUUCAUUGUCAUCUGAUCAUCUGACAUGAUUGAUGAAGUAGGUUGCCUCAACUCUAAAGGAUUACUCACAUCUAGGGAGUGUAGAGUAGGACCCCAGUUAUAGAUGUAUGAUAUUACUGUUUAAAUUGAACACCACACUCAUUUGAUCUGCAAAUAUUUGAUUCAUUAUGUGAAAUAUUUACAAGGAUGUUAUUAGAAUUAUCUUAAUUAACAACCGAGCCCUUCAUCAAGAGUCUUGUAUUACUGGACGCCCAUUUGGUUAUACUCUCGUUUACACUUAAGACUUCUUUUCCUAAAAUAUAAUGUAGGUUAAAUUUUAAAACAGGUCAAUUCCUAAAGUUUUGGGCGAAGUUUCAUUGUGUAUUUAAAAGAUUCAAUUUAUAGUUUCUAUAGGUUGGGUAAUACUUUUUGAUUUAGUAUUAACAACAACAAAAGUAAUAUUAAAUUUGAUCAAAUCUUAGUUGGAAUAAUUAAUAUGAUAUAAUAUAAUAUUUUAAAUUUGAAAAUUAGUCGAGGUAGGAGACACAAAAAUUCAAAGCAAUUUAAAAUAUUGGAUUUUUACAAAUUUAAAUGUAGAGAUUUAUGGCUAAUUAUCCACUCGAAAAAAAUGCAUCAAAUUGACAUUGAAAGUCAGUUGGGAUCUUAGGAGAGCCCACCUUAUGUAUUUGAACAAUCAAUUGCAUUGUAAUUAAGAAAGAUAAUGAUAAUUUUAGUAUUUAUAAAAAUUAGAGUCCCAUGAAAUUUGUGCAUUACUUAAAUAUCCUUAUUUGAAUUUCCAAUUUCAUAUUUUUUUUAAUAGGUAAUUAGUUUCUUUCCUAUUUCAAUUUUCGUAUUCUUGUUUUUUCCUUAAAAAAAUAUAUUUUCAGAAUUUCAGAUAUAGCAGUAUAUUCUUUUAGAAAUUUAUUAAUUCAAAAUUUUCAAUGCAUCUCUCCUGUUAAACGUAAGACGAAUGCAAAAUUAGAAAUGUAAAUCUUAGAAAUUUGAGUUUAUAAUGGAUUUUUUUUUUAUUUAUAUAUAAUUACUUUGGAAUAGGAAUCGGUUUAUAUUUUAUUUAAAAUCUUUUAAUUUAGGAAUAGGUAAGAUGAAAUACCUAUUUUAUUUUAUUAAUUGAAAUUUUAAGGAAAAAUCUUAUAUUAGGAAAAAUUGUAUAAUAUCUCAUUUAUUUUAAGAAUUUGAAUUAUAAUUUAGCAGUUAAAAGUAUUAAAAUUCUAAAAAUUGGAUUUUGGAAAAUUUAGAAGAUAAAAAUCAAAUAGAAAAUAACGAUGGAAAUUAAGACAUAUGAAAUAUGAAAUAUGAAUUAAAUCAUUAUUAAUUAUGGAAAUAAGAAUAGUUAAUAGCUUUACCUUUAUAUGAUUAGAAAUUCAGAAUUUGAAUUAGGAACUAGAAAUUAGAAUUUGUUUCUGAAGGAUAUAGACAUUAUGUAAUAUAGUUUUACUGUUACGAAUUCAAAAAAGAACUUAUAAAAUAGUAUUCUUAUUGUUAUUAUUCUGUAUAAUAAUUCUUUCCUAAAAAACGUUUAUUAAUGUUUGAGUUUGAUUUUGAAAUUGUUAAAAUUUGAUUAAUAUGCAUAAUUGGUUGGUUGCAUUAUUAUUUCCAUAUACCUAUUUAAUUUUAAGAUCUAAAAAUCUUUAUAAGUAUUUAAAUCUCUUCUUCGCCAGUUAUUUAUUUAAAGUAUAUCUUUUCUCUUUCCAUGUUUAGAAUUAGGACUUUGUAUCCAUAUUUUUUAACAAAGAUUAAAUUCUAAUAAUAAUAAAUUACUUCUUCAACCUCUCACUUUAUUUUCAACAAUUGUUUGAUAUUGAAGAACCUGUUAUGAAGAGUGAACACCGUUUCUUCCUCCACCGAUAUUCACCAACAAAUCCACCCCGGUGAGCUUCUAUUCCUUUUUCUUAAAUAUUUUAUCUUUCAUUCGCCAAUAAUUCUUUUUUUCAUUCUUUCCUUUAAAUGUACGUAUUGUAUUAAAAAAAAUAUACAAUUUACGUAUCAUUUGUGGCAAAACAAUUAAUAGAAAAAAUCAAUAUACUUCAAAACAAAUAUAUACGACAAUUAAGCUUAUAAUUUUACUCUCUCAUUUGUGAUUAGACACACAUGGAUUGUUUGGAGUCUCGAGAUUGGUCAACACUUGAAUAUGAUGUCCUUGGUAUGAUUCUUAACAAAAUGGUAUCUCUCUAUGACUAUCUUCAAUUUAGCAGUGUAUGCAAGUCUUGGAAUUUUAUUGCCUUACGCUACAAACAUCACCGAUCCUUAAUUACAUCUAACCUUCCUCAACUUCCCAUGCUUAUUGUUCCGUCCGAAUAUGAUAGUGGAAAACAACAUUGUCUUUACGAUCUCAUUAACAACGAAAUCCGUCCUGUAGACUUUGUAUGUUCCUUCAACAAAAGGUGUUGUGGUUCAUCUUUCGGUUGGUUGAUCAUGCUUGAAGACACACUUGAUAUUACUUUGUUUAACCCUUUUAAUGGGAAUGUGAUUCAUAUUCCUCCCAUUACUAUACAUGAUGAACCUGGUUACUCUCCUAUUGCCAUACAUAAAGCCAUACUAACCAAAGAUCCAUCGAUAUAUCCACAGGGGUUUACUAUUGUUGCCAUUUAUAGUUCAUUUCGUAGAUUGUGUCUCAUGGAAGCUAAGGAUAAAAGGUGGAUCUAUCACAACCUAAACAGGAAUAAUGGUUUUGAUGAUGUUAAUGUUGUCGAUGACAUUUUAUAUGUUUUGGAUUGGCGGAUUGGACUUUGGAUUGUGAAAGUUGAGGAUAGCUCAAUUUAUUUGAAGAAGGUCAUAUUUAGUUUCAAUUUUAACGAAGCUGAUAUUGCGUAUCUUAUCGUGUCCUCCAAACGUGAGCUUUUAUUAGUUAGUAGGUUUGUCGUAACGCAAUGGGAAGGACAAGUUCCAAAUGAGAUUUUAAAGUUCACAAGGACUUCCAAAUUUAUAGUCCACAAAGUUACUCAUGAAUGUGAGGAUGGAAUAAUGAGAGUUGUAGAGGUGGAGAGUUUAGAUGGGGAUGUUAUGUUUAUCGGUGACAACCAAUCCAUUUGUGUGUCAACUAAAGAUUUUCCCAAAUGUUUACCUGAUCGCAUAUAUUUUACAGAUAAUUGUCACCAUUUUGCUUUUCCUUAUUUACAUGGACAUCAAGAUGCAGGAAUAUACCGCGUAGAAGACAAGAGUUUUGAUAGACAUUAUAUAGUCAAUCGUGCACACAGAAAUUUGCCUCCACCCAUAUGGAUCAUCCCAACAAUAUCUUACAAACAUCUUGAGGAUCCGUUGCCAAAUAUUUUGAAAAGGAGUUUAUAUUGGAAUAUAGUAUUUAUAUUAAGUUGGUGCUUGGGUAUAAUGUUCCUACUGUGUGGGUGGUUCUAAUUUUGAGAUCACAACUUUACAUUUUUGUAAUUUUAUUGAAUUAAUGUUUAAAUUUUUUAUACAUUUAUUUUUCCUCGAUCUUAGCUUGUGAGUAUGAAUAUAUAUAUAUAUAUAUGUAUAUGUAUAUAUAGAAUGCGUGGAAUUAAUCUUAUAAUAAAAAACAAUUGUGAAAAAAUUAACUACGUAGUGUUUUAAAACAAACAGAAUUAUAAUUUUGAAGUUCUAGAGCAUGCAAAUACCCUCAUUCUUCUUUGAAAGUGAUUUUGGAGGAGAAAAAGUUAUUUUGAUAUCUCAUAAUCAUUCCCAAACAAAUUCUAAAACCCUAGAUAAAUAUAUAUAGUUUCAUUCUAAUUAUUAAUCUAAACCCAUGAUUUUAAUCACUCAUAAUUAAUUUUAUAUACUUAAUUUUAGAGUUUAAAAUAUAAAAUUUUUGUAUAAUCAAAAUAGGUUAUAAAUGAUUUUAGAACGAACAUAUUUUUGUUAUUUUAAAUAACUUUAACAUUUUACCUUAAGAGAUACUUUUUAAAAAAUUUAAAAAUUUAAAACUCAAAAUUGUCUCGUUUGAUUUGAAUUUUGUUUGUAUUAACAAAUGAGAAUUUGGGUAAACAAAUAUUGGAAACUAAAAUUCUCUUUAUUUUAUUUUAUUAUCUAUUUGUAUAUUAUUAUUAUUAUCUAUCUAUUUUCCCUUUCUCUCGAAACUAUGGCUUCUCCUCCCACUUCCUCCUUGGGUUAUCCAAUUAUCAUAAUUAAUCAACCCAAUUAUCAUAAUUAAUCAUGGCGACAUGGCGACCGAAUUCGUUUCGAUUUUAUUAAUAAGAACAAGCCAGUAUAUAAUAGGCAUAGUAAUUAAAUAUAAAAUGAUUAUUCUAUUACUUUUGCAUGUCUUUCCAAAAAUCAACUAGUUUCAUUAUAGAACCAUUGUUUGUUUCUUCAGUUGUCUAGGAAUGAUAUACAUUACAGAACCUAAUUAAUGGCUUAAUAGCAGUGAUUACAAAAGUAAUCAAAUAAUCAACACUAUUACUACUAGUAAGAACAAAUGUCUAUGCCUUGCUUUUCAUCGCCAAUAGGUCCAAAUUGUCUAUUAGGUUUACUCUUCGACUAUCAGCUUUUUCUUCAACUCUUUCUUGUUCACCUGUAAUUCAAGAGCAGUGACAGCUCAAUUAGACAAAAGGAAGGAAUGUGAAGAAAUGUCUCUUGAAAAUGCAACAAACCUUUCCCAUUGCGUUCCGAGGCAGCGAGUCCUUCAACAAUAACAUAGUUGGUAACUGGAAAAAACGUGUCAUAUUAUUAUUAGUUUAUCAAACUGUCUUAACAACGUAUUUACGUGAAAAUGAUGGCAGAUUUACAACUAGAUACUUCUCUCUGAAUUACCUUGUAUGGUGCAAGCUUGUCUUUAGCCCAUGUUCGAAGUUCAUCUAAGCUCAUACUAGGAUUGGACCCAUCAGGUAUUGUCGUUUUCAUGUUAGCCUGAAGCACAACAAUUGCACAGACACGUUCUCCGUAGUCUUUGUCUGGUAAUCCCAACACACAACAUUCUAUGACAGACGGAUGCUGCACAAAGUGAUUUAGUCAGUAGUCAUUCUUUCUUUUGUGUGCUAGGGGGUCCUCUCUCACUUUCCUUAAGAGAGAGAUAAUAGAAGGAUCGAUGGAGCUACCUGCAAAAUCACUGAUUCAAUCUCUAAUGCUGAUAACUUAUAUCCCCCAACUUUCAUGAUAUCGGCACUCAAACCUGAAACAUCAGAAAAGGGAGGGAAAAAAAACGAUUCAAUUCAUGGCAUAGGUUAUUAUUAGCACAAACACUUUAAGAUAGUUUUUCAAAUUAUCAAGACUUAAAUUAAUAGAAAGAAUAGAACGUCGAAUUAAAUAGCAACCAUAUACAAAAAGGAGAAUGUCAAAUCAGUUAAAUUAACUAAAUGUUGAGGCUAACCCCACAAUUCACAUGUUGCAAAUAUUAGGUGGCUCACACUAUCAAGAGAGUUGUGACCAAAACAAAAUCGCAUAAGAGGGAGUUGAAUCCCUUAUGUUGUUGUUACCCACUUUGGAUAUACUUACAAGUAAACUCUAUUGCUUAUUGUCACCUGUGAAUGUGGGAGCACAUCACCAACUAGGAGGGUUUUAAUAAAACGUACUAAAAUAUGCAUAGCUGACAAGAGCUUGAAGCUGAUAAAGUUAACGUUUGCAAAGUGGUAUAAGUAUGAUGAGCAUGCAAAGACAUCUCUGAAAUGCUUUGUUAACAACUUUAAGUUAUCAGAUGCAUGUACAACCCUACUCUGACAGGACUAGCAAAAAGAUGGAACAUGGAAAGACCCAGCGCCAUUCUCAUGCCUGGACAAGGAAGCAUGUUUGAUUCAACAGGGUCGAAGCUAAUGCUAUUGUCUAAUAGGUAUCAAUUCAUUACUCCAUCACCAUCACAUGCUCGAAAAAUAAAACAUGCAUUCGAUUUGCAGGUUAUAGGAGUGAAAGCGUAAAAAGAGCUCAGGCAUCCUAUAAAUAGAAUGUAUGUUAUAAGUAACUUACGUCCUAGUAUGAUGUAGUAACCACCAUCUUCAUCAAGUCUAGCAGCAUCUCCAGUCUUGAAGAAACCACCAUCAAUAAAAGAUUCUUUGGUAACCUACAGAAAGAAAAUCAUAGGAUUUAUUUGAAUCAAUUACAAUUCCUCCUUUUAUUAUUUUUUUUUUCUUCUCCUUUUUAGUAAAAGGUACAAGUGCAGGGAGAAAAUUUUAAGCUAGAAUAGAAGUUUCAAACUAAUUGAACUUUAUCAGUUGAAAUGCCACAUAAUUUUUUUUUUCUCCAUUUGAGAAUUAAAAAAUAUGUAGAGUAGAAGAAUUUGAACCUCUAACCUCUUGGUUGAGGUUGAGGGAGUCAAGAAUAUAGUGCCUCAACCAAUUAAGGUUGUGCUCACAUUGGUAGUUCGUUCUUCAAUUUUUUUGACUAGUGCAUUUCAAGCUUAUAAGAAUAAUACCACAGUAUUUAAGGUGUCAUUCAUAUUUCUACAAUUCUACCUACCUCGGGAAGCUUCCAAUAUUCUUUAAACAUUGAAGGGCUCCUAAUACACAGCUCGCCCUCCAAGCUUGAAUCAUUGGUACUCCCAUCAUCUGCAACAAUCUUGGCCUAACACGUGCAGAGUGUAGCAUUUAAAAGAAAUUUGAAGAGCAGAGAGACACAAGUAGUGAAUACAAUCCAGUGGUAAGUAGUUUUUUCAGUAUGACUUUGAAAGGAUGGCAGAAAGUUCAUCUCAUUUGUCAGAUGCAAAGGUUAACAACCACUAGUUUUACGGGCUUAUUACAUCUUUGCAGUUGAUAGAGUUCACAUCACCCGUUAAUACUAUUUAAUAUAAAUGAUCAUGCCUUUACUAUCUACAGGACUGUAAUAACAUGUUUCUUAAGAUGAGCAAUCAAAUUAUACCAAAAUGCAAUACGUUUAGUUUUUAUUUUAUUUUAUUUUUCUCCUUACUUUUUAUUUUCUCUUUUAAGUUCAUGCUCUCCCCAAAACCAGACUUUGUAAACAUCUACGCUUUCCUUAAUUAAGCUCACCCAAAAAUUCAAACAUACAACUUCUUGGUAUGUAUGACUUUGAGACCUUUAGCUUUUCUAGCGUGCGCCAGUUGGAAUUAUGCAAACUUUCUUCAUCUAUUCUGUGAAAAAAAAUGAACUGCUCGGGGAGUGAAUUUCAAAAUCUAUGAAGGAAGGAGCUUUAAAACCUUCCUUUGUAAGUAUUCGCUUGUCUUUGUUCUUUUGGAUUGGGCACCUUUCCUACAAUUUUAUCUGUACCUGCUUUUUUUUUUAUUUGUAUGCCCUCGAAUAUCCUUUCAUCUCUUUCCAAGAACCUUAGUUUCUUAUUCCAAAAAUAAUAAUAUAAAAUAAAACAAGAAUUUGGUAUUUGUCCAUUCGUAGAUGGAGCAUCCUUGACAAGGGCUUCUUGAGACUACCAAUCUCUUUUCCUAAAUACUAACAAGAAGACCCUUUUGCAACUUUUGUGAGCUGCUUUGAUUAUGGAUUUUUUGUGUGUCGAGUGUGGUGAUCAGGAGGGGGGGAGUACUAACCUCCACGCCAGGGAAGGGUUUGCCAACAGUUCCAAUCUUUCUCUGACCAUUUAAAGGAUUUGAAAUUGCCAUGACAAACUAAAAAAGCAUAAUUGAGAGGAUAAUACUUUAGUGUUUUUUCUAGCAACAAAAAAUAAAAUGAAAAGAAAUAAAAUGGUGUGAUGUCACUAGGAUACAACCUUAAUAAAUUCUCAAACUAAAUUCACUUACUUCGGUCAUACCAUAUCGUUCCAAAAGUUCAUGGCCAGUUACUUCCUUCCAUUGUUUCAUGAUAGGAGGAGGAAGUGCAGAAGAGCCACACAUCUGAAGGAGAUAAGAGUAAAUUUUAAGGUAAAACAAGGAACUUUGGUAGCAGGAUACAGUUAAAAUACGUUAGAAAGACCAAAGAACAUACCAUAGCCAGAGUCAAUUAUCGUACUAUACAAGAUAUUUGCUACUUUGAAACCCCCAAAGAUAACAUUAUUAGGUUUGAUAAAUGAACCGUUCAUAAUUAUGCAAAUAUUUCAGGAUCCUUUCUUCCCUCAAACUCACCAUAAGGCGCAACUGUCUUGCAGCAGAGGCAGAAGCAAGCUGUAGCUCUGAAUCCAUUGCUUCAUAACCUUGUAACAAUCGAGCAUACAUGGUCGGAACCUAUACAUCCACAGAUAUUUGAUUGGAAAACGUUUUAAUAUUUAAGAACUUUUCAAUAUGAAAAAUGUUAUAGAUCCCAAAUAUAUUGAGAUAUGAAAGAUAACCAAACUAUGAAGAAAAAAAGAAGUCAUAGAGGUACAUGGCCUCCCAAUCUUGAGAUCAUUGUCAAGCCUUAUUCACUCACCAAAAUAUUGCCAACAUUUUUCCCUUGCUCACUUUCUCUAUUUAUAAGAAACUAUCAUAACAACUUCUUUAAUUGCUAAUAUGCUCUUAAUACUCUAAUUAUUUCCUAAUAGCAUUCCUAUCAUUAUGAUGCUUCAAUGGGUAUAGUUUUUAACCUCUAUAAUAAUAUUAAUUCAUUAAAUGAUCAAUAAUUGACAGAAACAUGCAAAAUAAAGAGCAUAACCAAAAAAUAGUUAAUUCAUUAAGGCAGACAGCUAAUCAUUGUAAGCAAUCCAAUUGGAGUGACUUCAUAGAUACAUUUGAGAGUGUUAAAUUCCAUUGUGACUUGUGUUUGGUAAGCUUUGGCAUCAUGUCGUAUUUAAAAUCUAGGCAACAAGGCCGUAUAACAUUUAAAAAAAAAAAUGCAACCUCAGCAAAAGAACUGUGCGUACCCCGGUAAAAACAGUUAUAGCAUCAUCAGAUUUAGAACUCUUGGAUGGAUAUGAUUCCCGCCACCUUUUCCAGAUACCACUGACACUAAAUUUUGGCAUAAACUCAACCUUGAUUGGAAACAUGAAAAAGAAGCCGAAGUCAAGCUGACUUUGAAAUUGAGCUAGAACUUUUAUGCAUAGAACAACAGAAAUGGGAAAAAAACCUAAUUUCAAAGAAAUCUCAAUAAAGUUAAAUUACCGUGGAACCUGCAUAGAUAGGAGCUAACAAGCCAUUGAACAGCCCAUGAACAUGUGCAUUACUAGUUAACAUCAACAAUUUUCCACUCCAUCGUAAGUUGCAGAAAUAAGACAAUUAAAGCGAUCCUGUGAAAAAUGAACAUAAUUCAAGGAUAUGAUGCAGGGGAAGACAAUGCAGAAAUUGGUCAGCUGAUGUAUAUUCCCAAGCAUUUGACAACAUUUGAACCUGAAAUUAGACCAAAGGAUCCAAAAAAAAAUUAUAUCAAUUAUGAAUGCUGGACCUCACACAUAUUAUUGUUAUUAAUUCUGUGGAGUGAGGUCGUUUAUCAUAAUUUAUCACACACAUAAGAAGAACAUGCCAUACCUGUGAAGUGAUGCUUUUAUGAGUGUGAACAACUCCUUUUGGUUUACCAGUUGUACCACUAGUAUAAAUUAUCAAUGCAGGAUCAUCACCUUCACAUUUGAAAUGAGAAAUAAAAGACAUGUUUGAUGGGUACAAUCCAUAAGUUUACAAAGCAAUUCAAUCCGCUAUCUUACUCAAGUUCUCUACUGUCCCCUGAAAAACUCUAUCUGCAUCUGCUGCAUCUACUUCUAUAUUGGUUGAUUGAUCAUGAGAGUUUCUUUCUGAAUAAAUAUGAGGAACAGGUGGAAUAAGAGAAACUGUUGCAACUGUUUUAGCAGCAACACUUUGCAUAAAUUCAACAUGAUCUUCAGUACUCAGUAUCAUGGAGACCUCCUACAGUCAAGUAAACUGUUAAAUACUUCUACAACUUUCCUCACACAAAGGGAAAAUAGAAAUAGAUGUUAAGAUGAACUAGUCAAAGUAGAAUUUUCCAGUAAUAAGACAUUAGAAGGGAGAAAAAGUUAUGAGAGGGUAGGCAAAACCAAACCGAAUCAUUCAAGACAUGUAAGAGCUCAGCCUCUGGAUAGCUGAGUGCAAGUGGAACAGCAACACCUCCACUAAACCAAGUUCCCAGCACUCCAGCAAGAAAUUCAGCCGAGGGUUUUGCUACAAUGCCAAUUUUUGCUCCACCAAGAUGCCCAUGACCCUUCACAUCAUUUAAUAAGAUUAUGAAUCAAUUAAGUGAUUCAAAGUGGUCGAAAAAGCGAUAAUGGUACACUUCAUCAUACUUCAAAAAAUGUAGCAAGAACUAAAAGUUUAGUCAUCCCUCGAGCACUGAAACAAUUAUUUAAAUGGUGCAAUGAAUCCAUUAGUGACAUUUUUUUCUGGAAUAAAAAGGAAAUUACAUUUUGAAGUUCAAUAUCAAACCAAGUCAACAUUCUGCUUACUACAAUCUCAUGACAAAAACAUCAAUUAGACCUUCUGCUUGCUAUAAUCUCAUAACAAAAUCACGUACAAAUAUACCAAGCAAACGCCACAGUAUCAAACUAAAAUAUCCAGUUUUCACCAUAUAAAGUAGACAUACAGUUCGUAGAUCACUGCUAGUCAAUAGAUCAGAUAUCUUUAGUGCAGAUGAGAUCAGUUGUAUGUAACUAUGACUUUUCUGGUUAGCUCUAAUAGCAACAUUCUCACGGCAAGUUGCCCCAUGCUUUGCAGCUGAUUUGACCACCUCCAUGAAGGUAUAAGAACUUAAUACUGCAUAACAUGAGAAGGAAAUAAUAAUCAGAAUAAGAACAUAUAUAACAGUUAACACGAUACUUUUAUACUUCCAAUUGGUGGAACCUAAUGCAUGUCAUGUAGAACUUCAUUCAGAUUAUUACAAAACUAGCUCCCGGAAGUUCGUUACUAGCUAUAAAUUUAACAGAAGAAAUGCCAUGGUGGGGUUUCAAGCUAUACAUUCAUGAAAGCUAGCAGAAAGGUGAUCUUCUACUAUGCUCUAAAGAUCCCGGCCCACCACGCAAGGUAAGUGAGAGGGAACCAUAAUGGGAUCAAUCGUCAUGACUGAAGGAAAGGUCUCAGAAUCAAGGAGAUUGUAAUCAUUGACUAGUAGCAAUGGCAUGAUUGAGCUUCAAUUAUACAUUCUAGAAAUCAACUAAUUCCACCCCAAGUAAAAGUCAAAAGAUACAACUACUCAUCCCAAAAACAUAAGAACAAACAAGCCCAACUAGCUGGUGACAGAGUAGAUGAACAAAACAACUUCAAAAACCAAACCCACAUAAGAACAAUGGAAAAUAAAUUUCCAAUCAACUAUGUAGAGAAACUUUCUAAAUGACCCAGAAACCAAAAAUUAAAAAAAAAAGCAAAACAAAUUUCCCAUCAUUACCCAUCUUUUCAUGAUUUCCCACAAUAAACAAACAACUAAAAAGGAAGAAAAGUCACCUGAAAACAACCGAAAACGUGAAAAACAGAACUUGGGAAUGCUCUUCCCAAUACAAAAGCAAGCAGAACUCGAUCGAAUGGCAAUCAAACGAGAAGAGGGAAGUGAAAGAUGAGAGAUACGAGUAAAUAAAGAGGUGGGGUUAUUAAAUGUAGAAUAGUUCAUGAAGAAAAGGUAGGUGGCUAAGAAGGAAAAGGGCGGUGAGUCCUAACUACUUGUGUACAAUAUAUUAUUUGGUUAUGGAGAUGGUAGACGAAAACGUUUAAUCAAAUUGAAUAGGUAAUAAAUUGACCAUCUGGGGACAUUCAAGUGAUGGGUUUCUGUGAAUGGGGGGGUCAAGACGUUGGUCGAAAUCGCUAUCGAAGUAUUCAGUUUGAGGCACCGCCAACAAAUGGAGUUGUUUAUUUAGGAUGACAAAUCCGAAUGUAAGCUGUUUAAUUCAUUUAAGAAAGAGUGGAAGCUUCUCAAGUUUUAUAACUGAUCUGUGAUUUGCAUCACUCUGUUAACUAAGGAGAAAUGUAGUAACUGUGCUUCAAUUUAUCAACAAAUGAGGGAUUGUGUUUUCCACAAAAUGAUUGAGAAUUAUUUAGGUAUUUUGAUUUGCUUUCUCUUUCACUUGUAGAUGUAAACUUAGCUCAUCAUUGUCAUUACUCCACAAGUUUAUGAAUUUCAUAUUUUCUUUAUUAUCUGCUAGUAAUGUUUUAAAAAACUAAGCCAAAUUUUUAAAACUAGAAAAAAAUGUUUUAGAAACUUGAUUUUUAUUUUUUAAAUUUGGCUAAAAAUUCAAUUAUUCUAUUGAAGAAUGAUACAAAUGGUUGAAGUAACGGAGAGAAAAUAAGUUUUUAUUUUUUUUAUUAGUGAGGGUUUUUGCUAGCUUAUGCGCCCUUCAAUUUAAUCCUACGUGACAAAAAAAAAACUUAAUCUAGUUAUCAAAAACCAAAAAUUAAAAAAAAAAAAAUGAUAUAGUUAUCAAACAAGUCUUACCAAUUAAAUUUAGGGUUAUUUGGUCACAACCAAAAUAGUGAAAUCUUCGAAUUAUCAAUAAAACAUUCAAAUAAAGUUUAAAAAAAAAAACGUAAACUUUUAAAAUAAAGUUUUAGAAUGAUACCCUUAAUGCUUUUUUCAAAAUAUCUUUCAAAUUUCUUUAAUUGUAUCGAAUAUGUCAUUGACCUUAAAAAAGUUUUUAAGAAAAACACCUUAGUAUAUGAAUGGAAACUAUUAAUUUUUUAAAAUUUGAAAGUUCAAAAGUAUUUUUGAAGAAAAGUUAGAGGAUCCCAAAACCAAAGGAUUAUCUAAUCAAACGGGGGAAAAGACUUAAUUAAGAUGGAAACUUUGUUGGCAUUUGGACUACUAUUAACAAAAGAGAUCAACAACCCUGAUUGAGUAGUUUCCUCGUAAAUCAAACUACCAAAUUCUUGAUUUCUAAAGUACAUCCGUUAAUAUUUAAACAUUGACAAUCUUCAGUCAUUCGGCUUCAAUGACGAGCUUAAACAUGCAUGUCGAAGAUUUUUCUAAUACUACAAUAAUAUCAUACUUUCUUUGUUUUAAUGAAAAACAAAUGAAAAAAUGGAAAUAGUUUCUAAACAAAAAAGAUAUUUGAAGGGAAAAUUUGUAAGGAUGUUUAGGAACAUUUAGACAGUCACAUCUGCUUUGUUUGUAUGAUUUUUCAAUGAGGAUAUGAUAUCUUGAAAUGAUGUAUUAUUCCAACCACACUAUUCUAUUUCAAUAUAAUUUCUAUCUUAAUUUGAUAUAACAUACUUAAAUUUAUACAAUAUUUCAGUGUCUUCGAUAGUGUAAUAUUUUAUUUGGCCAAGAAAAACAAUUUCAUAUUUAUUGUUGUAAAUAUGAAAUAAACAUAAAUGAUAUUUUUUAGUAUAACCAUUCAAGCUUGGCUGAUUCAAACUUUCAAAUCAUCUUAAUUAUGAUUAAGUUCAACUCGGUUUGAUAUAUAAAAAAAUGACGUUAAAUAUUAAUUUUAUUACACAUAUUUGAAAUAAUUGAUUUUUAAGAGGAAGCAUUGGAUUACAUGAUUGGUACUACUAUGGUACAUGAAUAACCACUUUUUCUCAAUAAAUUAGAGACUACUUGAAAGAAUCGAUAUUGUUUUAUGGAUAUAGAUAUUAAAUAUAUGUAAUUUGAAUGUUUGAAUUUUAAAUGUUUAGAAUAAUUAAAUUUGUGUGUUUAAUUCAAUCAUUUAUAAAAAUUAAAAUUAAAUUUAACAUAAACUAGUUUAUUGUUAUGUUAAUAAGUUAUUUAGUUAACAAAAUGAAAAAUAAAAUAAUAACUUCUAAAGGAAUGUAAAUAAAUUAAUUACUAAAAAUAAUUAAAUUAAUAUUAAAAUAUUGAUAAUUAACAACAAUAAUUUAUACUAAACGGUUAAUAACAUAAAAUAUUGAUGGUAAAAAUAUUUGUUAAAAUUUAUUAAGACUAAAUAAUAUAUUUAUAUUCAAUAAUUAACUAAAAUUAACAAUAAUAAAUAAUUGAUAUUAAUUUAUAAAUUAAUUAAAUAAUAUAUCGGUUGUUCAUCUCCCAAACAUAAAAGUCCCACAUUUUUAUAAGUUAUUAAAAAAUUGGUUUAAUUUUAAAAUUGGUAGAUAUCUUGAAUUUAAAGAAAUAAAUUUAUGUAAAACAAACAAGGAUACUAAAGAUAUGUAUGAAAUUACAUGAGAAAACUUGUAAAACAAAUUGGAUCUUAGAGUCUCGAUUGAAUUGAAAAGAUAUAUAUAUUAAAGAAAACUCAUUUUUUAUUUAAACAUGUUAAAUAAAAAUAGUUCAAAAUACAUUUGAAGAGUUAUUUGGAAUAGUUAUCAAACACUUUAAUGUUUUCGGAUUUAUCUACUUUCCAUCAAAAUUUGCUUUCAAAUACAUUCAUAAAGAAUGGACCAGUGGUGGGGGAAGACAGAAAUGGCAUCUACCUCUUCUUUGUCAUCUGAGUAAUCCACAAAUUUUAACAAAUUCAAAAUCUUAGAGAAAAGGAAGAAAUAAGUUGUAGAAACAGAACCAGAACCACACACACAGAUUGAUGGAUGAGAAAAUUCAACAGGUUUUCCAUUUGUUUAUCAAAACAUGGUUUGUGUUGGAGGAGGAACUUCCAUUGUUUCAUUUUGUGUUGCUUGUCUUUGAGCCAAAAUUCCAUUCCAUCCUGUGUACACAACAAAGUUACAUUAACAAAUUAUUAAUUUAACUUUCCAAACUGCCUUGGAAACUAAAAGCCUAAUGCAUCAUUUCUGUUAUUUCCAUGGUUACUCUAAAAACACGCCUUAAACUAUUAAGCAAAGACUGUUUGGUAGCUGGUAGAAGUGAUUAGCAAGUGUUUAAGAACCAUACAAAGUCAUUAUUCUCAAGACUUGGGCAAUGUAAAAUAAAAGAAAUAGAAUUUAUAAGUACCUAAAGCUGGGUCAAGUCCUCUUUUUCGAAGUUCUCUAAACUCUUGGCAAAGUGAACAACAUGGGCAGAACACAUGAGAAAUGAUAUCAGUAUAUGGAGCUUCUACCAAAUUAUAUCUCUCUCUCAGUCUUGUUCUGUAUUUUGAGCCCAUCAACCAUUGAGAGCACAAAGCAGGCAUCAUCAAAGCAUAUAUAAGACUUCCCAAAGGACAGGCUGCAAUCAAUAUCACGCAUAUAUUAUCAUCCAGAAUGUUAAAGAAAUCGACAAACAACGUAGAACAAUAGAGAAUUGACACAUAGAUUUAUGUGGUUCACUAGCUAUGUCUAGUGACAAGAUGGAGAAAGCAAUUUCAUUAAAUAUAAGAUCUCGGACACAAUUUUAAAACGGCAAAAGGUAAUCUGAGAAAAGAAAGAAGUUGAAGGUUAAAGGAAAGCUUUACUCAAUUCUCCUUGAUCCAUCACUUCUGCAAUCUGUCCAAAUGUAACACAUGGUAGGAAUGCUGUCAUGACCGCUGCCAAAUAGAAACUAAUGUGUAAAAGAUAUGUUCAAAACCCUCCAUGUAUAACCAUACCCUUUUAAAUAGUGAACAAGAACUUUUAACAGUCAACAAUUAAAUAAAAAAGAACAGAAAGAUUAAGGUUUACACUUCUGAUUCUUGAACACUUGUGAAAAUAACAAUUUAGUCCUAACAGUUGUAAAUUUAUAACAAUCUACUUGUUGUGCUUUAGUAUGUAACAGCUUUUUCCCUAUAUGUUAAAUUUUCUUAAAAUUUUCAUCAAAAUUAAGUACUUAGUUUUCGUUAGCCUUUGUUUUUUAUAAACACAUAUGGUCCCUAAUCAAUUUAUGAAUCUACAUAUGAAAGAAAGUCUUAGUGAGUCAUACCAAUACUUUUUCUUCCUAUAGACUAAAUCAUUACCUAGGAAGGUUUAGAAGCUAAAGUCCAAUUGGAUAACCAUUUUUCGUUUUUUUCUUUUUGGUUUUUGAGAAUGGAGUCAAUAGAUAACACUCCUUCUACCUUUAAAUUUCUUGCUUUACCAUCUAACUUUUACCAUUUUUUUAAAAAAAAACAAGCUAAAUUUUGAAAAGUAAAAUAGUAGUUUUAAAAUCUUGUUUUUGUUUUUGAAGUUUGGCUAACAUUUUAACUCUUAGUACUUAAGGAAGAUGUCAACUAUUCUAAAAAACCGAGAGAAAAUAAGUUCAUUUUCAAAACAAAAAACGACGUGGUUAAAAAACGGAGCCUAAGUUGUUAACAAAAAUUGUCUAAGAACCCUCUUCUUAGUGUUGGAUAAAAUCAUCCAUCUCAAAGAACCAAAAACAUCAUAUACACAAGUUGAAAACACAACAGAAACACGAUAAAACAAUCUUCCAAAGUAGAGAGUCAACCUUAGAAACAUACAUAGUCAUCAACCAAAUUACGAGCAAAAAAACGAACCAUUUGUUUCAUCUUCAUGGCAAUCAAACAAUCCAGUGCUCCAAACAUUCCCACGGACAGUAUUUGCCUGAUACAUAGUUGGACCUGAGAACUCAGUUUCUAGUGUAUCCCCACCACCACCAUAAUUAGUAGCUGGAUUCCCUGUAUUUGCUUCAUACAUUCUUGGACCUGAAAAUCCAUGUUGAGCAGAUUGUGUAGUUCCACCAUAACCAUUAGCUGAGCUUCGAUCCAUCUGUUCUUCACCACAGAAGUAUCUACCCGAAGAUGAAUAUGCAAUAUGCCAGAUGUGUUUUGUACCUUGAUUGCUUGGAAAUUGGUCUUUAAGGAGUUUUCAAUGUGAAAAUCUUCUCCCCUCCAACUGUACGAUCCUUCCACUCACUAAUCAUAAAAAACAGAAGUAAGACUUUGAAUAAAGAGCUGGGUCAACUAAGUUUAUCGUUUAAAUUGAAGUCAACUAAUAAAAGAACAGCAAAGCCCCUUUGUUUGAAUGUCUGAUUGGAUUUACGUGAUUUCUUAAAUGAAGACAGAUCUGAGUACCAAAACAUUUUGGUGGCUGCGUUAGUCGUUGACUCAAUGUAACACCAGUUGGAUAGUUGACAACUUGACAUAGCAGCCAACCAGACUUCCCUGCAGCAAGAAUCUGCCUGUGCCAGCACAUUGAUCCAACAUAGUUUGCUUCUCGUAUGAGGUCAAUGGAUUGAAGGAUUGAAUGGUCCUUUUGGGGUUUUGAUAUUAAAAUGAAAAUUGGAACUCGUACAUAAUUGUAUGGUGAUGUAAGAUUUGGGCUAAAAUUGAAAUUACUCGACUUUUUAAAACUUAGGUUAGUUGACCUUUUGCUUACGUUUUAUUAUGGUUGCAUUGUGAAUCUCGUUCUUGUUUUCUUGUUUCUCGCUCUCAAUUUUUGUUUUUUGUUUUUUCUAUUUCCCUUUUUGUAUGACUAAAUGUUCGUGCUCUUUGCUCUUAGAAGAGAAAUAAACUAAAGGACAAAUGAGAGAGAAACUAAAAACAAGAUAUAAGAGCAAGGACAGAAAACUAAAACAAGGCCAAGAAACGGGAGCAAGAACUAACAAAGUGAAGAUAAACCGAAACAAGGAAUAAAUGAAAGCGAGUGCGCGAGUUCAAAAUGUGAACUCUCGUUUUACUUCAAUAAUAACAUCAAUAAAAUACUAUAUAACAUUAGUUUAAUAGAUGGGCACAAUCACAUCUGGAUCCUCUUUAGGCCAUCUAGACGAAGUCCCUUAAACUUCUUAAGUUUCCUCCUUUUUGUUCUUAAAACUUGAAAUAUAUGGACAGUCCAUUGAAUCGUAAUAAUAUCUUUCGUAGUAGAGACUAAACUAUUACAAAUAUGAAUACAAAAAUUAAACUCUUUACACAACACUUUAGGACUAGAUUGUUACAGAAAUUAAAUUUGUUCCAAACUAACUCAAUUCUCCACAAUCCAUCACUUCAGCCGUUUGUUCAAAUGUCUUAGAUCAUAGAAUUUCUCACUACCGCUGCCAAAACACAAACUCAGGAUGAGGUUGACAUCUUCUAAAUCCCAAGAUAAAUACUAACAUAGUAAUAUUUCUUCUUAAAAUAGUGUUUCUACACAUGUAACCUAGGGAAUCUAAGCAACUAUUAAUUUAAACACCCAUUAACUGGAUUUUCUGCAAAACAAAACUACCAUUUUGUCCAUCUUCCAGAUAUAAUCCAAGUAAGCCAGUGCUCCAAACAUGUUCUUUGGACAGCAUUUCUUUAGUUAGGGUGCAUAUUUUCUCCCUAACUAGUAUCCAUCUGAUACUUGACAAAGAAUAUAUACACAAAGUUGAAUUUGCAAUGCUUGUUCUGUACGUACCUUAAUUCCAUGGAGGUUGGUCUUUUAAGGAGUUUUGGAUGGUGGAAGUUUUCCCUCCAUCCCAUCCCUAUCACACUCCACUCACCAGCCGUAAGAACAAAAGCAAUAAAACUAAAUUGAAGAGUCGUCAACGAAGGUUAAUUUAUAAAAUGGGAGGCUACAUUAUAAAAGAAAUUUUGUUCUUUGUUUAAAAAGAAUCCAUAUUCACUCAAAAGUUGUAACAUUACCACCCACCUUCCAUAAACAGCUCAAAACUAUCUUGGAGCAUAAUCCUUUAGAAUUUUAAAUGAAAAUAGGGUCCAGGAAUAGUGUGAUAACAACCUGGAAUUGUGUGGUAAUCCAAACUUCUGUUCAUUGGUGUGUUUCCUUCAGAGAACCCUAUGAACCUAACUAGGUAACAUCUAAACUGGCGAUAAGAAACAAAUAUAAACAGAAUUGUAAGGUGCAAGUUCAUAUUCACAAUGUAGGUAACAUUUUUUCUAGCAAAAGUAAUCAUAAAACCAUCGUUGAGUAUAAUACAGUACAAAAAUUGUAAUGCUUUCAGAUUUGUAAUCUAAUGUGUAGAUCUUCAACAUACUCUGAAACUCUUUGAACUGUUGUUCGAGCUAGCAAUAAGGAGCAGUUGCCUCAUUGCCUACGCCAAUUCCUCCACCAUGAAGAAGGGGUUCUCUGAGAAGGCGGAGGUGAGAGGAGAUCUAACAUGGUUUGCUUCUCUUUAGGGGUCAAUGGAACACCCCUGACCAGAUUUAAAGCCAUGAUGUGAACAUUAGACCUUUGCUUGUGCUUACUAUAAGCCCAUACUCCUACAGCAGCACCAGCCACUAUCACCUAUUCCAAAGUGUAAUAUAUUUAGAAUUAAAAUUAGAAGAAAUAGGAUGAACUAUUUGCUUAAUUCUGAAUUUCACACACAUUAACUGACCGGUGAUAGCCAUAAGCCUGCAGUUUGAAGGUCAAACUUUGGGGUAUAAAGGAUCGUCUCCCCAUAAUCAUUCUCAAGCUUUUUGUAGAUAUCUUUGUCCGAUUUCCCAGACCGAAUCUCAUCACGAAUCAACUAUGGUUACAUAACAAAUACAACCCAAUGUGAAGCAAAUUUAUUGCAAAGCAAUAUUCAUCCAAGAAUUAUUGGCAGGUAACUCAACAAAUAUGUGAGAAAUCGUUGUGUGGCAAAGAUUCAAGGUCUGGUAUAACCUUCUUUUUCAUUCAUCAUUAUGACAUAAGAGGCACCGUGAUCAAAUGAAGUUAUUUAAAACUAUGCAUUAUUUUAAAAUUUCCAAGGGGAUGGCAACAUAGAUGGUUAUUUUGUAGAUAAUCUACUAAUCCAAAAGAAGAAUUUUUCAUUAAAAAAAAUUGAUUUAUUUCUAUUUCCUUCAAGUAGUUUAUGAAAUAGAGAACCACUAAAUACUAUAUUUCCCAUUGACAUGAACCAUCUCUUGUGAAAGUUUCGACCUCCAUUGAUACUUGCCAGAGAGAUUGCAGGAUUUCUGGUUCAAAGUAUGCCCCCAUUGACAAGUUAGAAUUUUUUUUUUUUUUUUUUUUUUUUUUGGAUUGAGAUGAUUUUCUAGUUAUUUGGAUUACUUGGUUUAUUGACCUUCAGUAACUGCAUCCUCUCCUCCUUUACUUGUAAGAGUAAAUUAGUAUUAUAAUCACAAUUACAAGAAGCUUUAGUAACUACACUUCUUCCAAGCCAUUUUCAUCAGAAAUCUAGUAUCCAUAUUUCUGAAUUUCAUCAUUGAAAAGAGAAAACAAAAAGGCAAUUUGCACAAGAGAGAAGAAGUGUUAGUUAAAUUAUUUAGAUUGAAGUUAACCUAAAUAACCGAUACCUUUCUGAGGAGAAUCGCAAUAUCUGCUUGUGAAUCUUCAAUGGAUUGACUACCACACUCAAUACACCUAACAUUGUGACUAAUAUUUCUUGCUCGGGCUUCCACUAGCUGGGUUUUUUUCAGAGCAUCCUCAUCGGUCUCCAUUUCAGACACUGUGAAACCUUAAGCUCUGACCCAACUGCAACGCAAGAAAAUACCCAGAAAUCAUUGAAUGCAAACUGCAAGUUAAAGAUACAGCUCUGAUAAAAAUCGAGCAAGUCAGAGAGAAAAGUUUAGCAGAUCAAAUUCCAGUUAGAAAUUACUCUGAUAGGAUGGAAGGGAUGAAUUCUCGUUAGGACAAUACAGGGAGAGACGGCUCACCUCAAUCAACCCUACCAAGAAAAAGCAAUAGGAUAAUAAGGCCCAAAAGGGUGGUGGAUCUAAAGAAUUAAAGUAUGGAUGGGUGUUUGGCCCAUGGGUUUUCAACUUAAGGGUGUUCGGCUUUGUUGUUUGAGCACUUAAAUAAAAUUCCUGUCAUUAACAAUGAGUUUGGAAUAGCAUAUGUUUCAUUUGUAUGAAUACCAUCAAUUUUAGAAAAAAAUUCACUUCUUUUAUCAAUCAUAAUUCAUAACAAAUGUUGGUCAAUUUCAAAAUCAACUAUUAAUGACCAACCGUGACCGAUCGACAGUCACAAUGACCGAUUGUCUUGAUUGUCAGCUUUGGAUCGUCUUGAUCAUUGGCUUUAGAUCGUCUUGAAUGUUGAUUAUCAAUCGUUUUGACCGUUAAUGAUUGACCAUCUUGAUCGUUAGUGACCUACAACUUUGGACGUCACUGUCAUCAAGUGAACAUCUUGAUCAUUGGCGUCCAAUCGUUAUAGUUAAGGAUUGAUUGUUGUGCCUAUUAACAAAGGAUCAUGGUGAUGGUCAAUGAGCAAUAGUCAUGACCUUUGGCAACCAACUGUCAUGACAGUCAGCGGCCAACCAGUCUUCUUAAUCAUUGGCGAUAGUUGACAUCAUUACUAGGGGUGUUCAUGGUUCGGUUUGAAGCUAAAACCACAUUAAACAAAAAAAAUACAAAAAAAAAUCUUGUUUGAAAUCGAACCGAACUACUCAUUUAUGUCAAACUCCCACUUAUGCAUAAAUAUUAUAAUCGAAAUCCUUUAUGAACAUUAUACGUAAAUAAGUCCUACAAAGUUACAAACAUAGUUUAAAUUAAUUUGUACAGUAAUUAAGUAGAAGAUAUAUAUAAUUUUUUAAAAUAAAGUGGUUUGGUUCGAUUUUAGAAUCAAUUUAAUGUCUUAAAUCGAACCAAACCGCAUAAGAAUCAGUUUCAAUUUAACACAAAUCAAAUCAAAUUGCAUGCAUUCAGUUUUGGUUUGGUUUGGUUUGUUAAUCGAUUCGAUUUUCAACUAUUUUUUGAACACUUCUAAUCUUCACCCUUGAUCGACGACCAUUUUCACCACGCUUCCUACACUCUUUCCCAUGGGUUUGAAUAGCAAACAUCUAUUUCAAGCCCAUGGAUUACCUCUUUUUUUCCCAUUCUUAAUUCAAUAUAGAAAAUUUGUCAGCCAAGUCCAGAUACCACUUUCGGUAACCAUUGUCGGAUUCAGUUAACCAUUGGGUGCCAUUUCCGACAACCUCGCUAACAAACUUCUGUCCAUCAACUUUGAUGACCGCCACCAACCUUGCAAAAUUAAUAAAAAUGAUUUUUUGUACAACAGAAAAAUUUAAGUGAUUCCAAAGAGGCCAUUGACUUAAUCACAACAAUAUUUUUUAAAACUACAUUUUUUUUUUUUUCUGUUGGUGUCUUUUAAUAAUUAUUAUUUGCAUUCUUCUAUUUUUUUAUUUUGGAGUUUUUUAAUAAUAAAUAAUUAUUAGAUCAUCUUUCUUUAAUUUUCUCUUUUUCUCUUUUUGGUUUAAAAUUAAUCCUUUUAAGAAUUUUUUUUAUUUUGUUAUAUUUUUUCAAGGUGAAAAUUGAUGACCUAUCUAUAUAUUUUGAUCUCAAGUAUAAAUAAAUAUCAAUAUAUUGAUCAUAUAGUAGAAAUUGUAAAUGUAAGCAUAAUCUUGACAUGAUAAAAUUUUGGAUGUACAAUUUACAAAAAAAAAAAAAAAAAAAAAAAAACUAAACAAACUAGUUAAACCCACAAAUUCAAAACCAACACCCCAAACAUAAGUAUCAGAAACUCAAAUUUUCAAAUCCUAUCCCAAACACAGACAUUUGUAACUUUUAGGCAUCAAAACCCCAUCAGAUAAGCCUACAGACGUUUAAUUUCUAGUAAUUUGAUUUCAAACCUACACACCAAAUGUUAUGAGCAUGCUUGUUCAGGGCGUUGUUUGCCUAUGGCCGCAUGCCAAAACAUUCUCAACCUGCCUUAUCCUUUAUGUUUUGUAUUUAGUUUAGUUUAGUCCAUUGUUUUCCUUUUGCUGUUGUUGACCUUUGGGUGUGACAUUUCGCACUUUUCCUAUGUAAGCAUGUCAAAUCUAAAUAUGUUUAAAAUGUACUAUAAGGGAGAUCCACUAGUUGAAUCCCUGACCAAGUUUUGUCGUACUCUUUGCAAUCUAAGCUUUCUUUGCAAUUGGCAGUCUUCAAUGAUUUUUUCAAUUCUUUCUUUCUCUCUCACGUUUUAUAAACACAAUUUUCUCUCAAAACGUGAAGGAAAGCUACAUAAUAUCGUGAGUUUGCUUGCAACUUUCAGAUUUAGUACUGCUAACUUGUUCAUCGAGGUAAGACAAGUGUCUCACAAUCGUCUGUCCCAUAUCUGAAAGGUCGAGAUAAUGACAAGCGGUAUUGAAGCUUUUUUAUCUCCUUGGCUAAGUGAGACACAAUUAUGUCGACAAUGAAACAACUUUCGAAGUAGCAAUUUGAGCCAUUGACUGGAAUUUAAGAGCAAUUCUUGUACAUGAGAGAAUUGUCAAACGAAGUAAGAUUUCUCUAGACUCGACUGACUGAGUUGGAUAAAAAGGUUGGAGCACAUUAGAUGCAUUAAAUGCCCAGAUAGACGGACUACCUGUAAACGAAUUAACGCUAAUGGUUGAUUCGAUAGAACAUAAAACCGCCCAAGCAGUUAGUUUUGAACUUGAGAAUAGUUCUUCGAAUUCUGUUACACACAUGGAAGAGCAUGUCAAAGAGCUUGACUAUUCCCAUAAGACCAUGCUAAAGUUGUUUAGCGAUCUGUCAGACGACUUUAGAGCCACGAUAGAGACAAUCAAAACCAAAAUGGUCGAGAUGAAAGUGCAAGUGAAUUUAACGAUGUGAGCACUAGCAAACCAGAUUUCGAAUCAAGCAUGUAUUGCUUCGUGGAAGUUCAAGAUCCUGAAACCCAAAGCCUUCAAUGGGAACCUCGAUGCUAAUGAGUUUGAAAUUUUCAUCUUUGAUAUGGAACAAUACUUUAAGGCCAGUGGAACCAACUUUGAGGAAACUAAGGUGACAUUAGCCUUCAUGCAUCUGUUUGAUGAUGCAAAGCUUUAAUGGAAGUUGAAAGUUAACGACGUCCAAAAUUGUCAAUGUAACAAUACUUUAAGGAAGAACUAAGAGCUUAGUUCUUUUUUGAAAAUGUUGAAUUUAUUGCAAGAAGCUAGAAAACUGGGGGAACUUAGACACGGGGAACCAUAAGAGACAUGUCGAAAAAGCAUAAAGUAUUGUGCUUUGUAGAAGGGCUCAAGUUGUGGGCUGAGACAAAAUUAUAUUAACAAAAAAUUCAAGAUCUUGCCUCUACUCUUGCUACAGCAGAGAGAUUAUUUAACUACGGUGGCGACCAAGAGUCUUAAAAGAAGAAUGUGACAACACUAAAUCUCGAGAAUAGCGUCUUCAAGCCUAAUUAUGCAAGAAACUUCGCAUGAUAAGAAAUCGUAGACCCUAAGCACUAUUCUCCUCGAGGAGCACAUAAGUCAUGUUCGAAUCAGACAAGACCUAUUUUUUGCUUAUUGUGUAAAGGCCCCUAUCAAGUAUCUGAGUGUCAAUACUGGGGAUCGUUGACAAAAUUAUAAGAUCUUAGUACAUGAUCCAUGAUCGUGUAUCAAAUCUAAACGAUCUUGGUUCAAAAUCUGUAGCAAAUAUAAAAGAUCUUGGUACACGAUCUUGAAUAAAAAUCAUUUAGAUAUUGGCACACAAUCGCGUACCAAGAGCUAAACGUCGUGUACAAAGUCUAAAGGAUAUUAGUACACGAUCUUGUACUAAAUAUAAAUUAUCUUGGUAUAGAUCUUGAACCAAGUUUGUUUAGAUUUUGUACACGAUUAUUUAGCUCUUUGUAUGUGAUCGUGUAUCAAUAUCUAAAUGAUCUUGAUUCACGAUCGUUUAGAAGAAGAAUUACACGCGCACGUGUGGUCAAUGUUGAUACUACCUACACGAUCGUAUAUCAUUUCAUACAUGAUUGCGUAUGAGAUCGCUUAGAAGAAGAAUUACACACGCCCGUGUGGCCGAUUAAUCGUGUGUUGUCAGAAAGAUUUUUUAUAUUUUUCAUUGUGGGUAUUUGGACCUUUUCCAUUUUCGAAAUUGUUCCAUACAGUGUGAAUAUUUUGUUGGGUUUGUUAUAUUUUUUUUAAAAAAUCUCAUUAUAAAAUUCUAAAACAACUGAUUUAUUAGAGAAGAUUUAGUUAAUUAAAAGAAUUGAGUAUCUGGUUUGAUUUGAGAUCUUAAAAGGAAAAGUUAGUUUUGGUGGACCUCAAUCCUCAACUACAUCACAAACCUCGGAAAAUCUCACUGCUCCAAUUAACAUUGAACAGAUACUCGUAAAUCUUGUCACAACCAAUAUAACACCCAACCAAUCCAUACAAAUUCCUACACAUAAAUGACCCCAAACUAAAAAAUUCAUCCCGUGUUUCAAAACUUCCAAGCUACCUCUAGAACUACCAGUGUAACCUUAUAAAAAGGUCCUCUCCCCAAUUACCACCAACUUACAUCCUUUACAUAACCACAUCUCUUGUGAAAACCUCUCAACCCAAUAUUGCGAGACCUUUGCAAUGAACAUAUCCACACAUUAUGAACUCCAAUUUUACCAUCAAGCUGUCCCAUAUGAAUGUUGGAAAUUAGAUAUAUAAAAGUUGAGUUAGAAACCAUGGAGGUCAAUAACACGCAUGGAUGAUCAUUCCACUUCCAACCCACAAACAUUCAAUUGGUUGUAGAUGAAUUUAUAAAUGCAUAAAGCAGAUGGUUCCAUAGAAAGAUACAAAGCUCGGUUGAUCACAAAGAAAUAUACUCAAUAUGAAAAUUACAUAAGUCGGUAUAUGGAUAGAAGCAAGCUUUUUGACAAUGGUUUACAAAGUUCUUUAACACCUUGAUAUCUUUAGGUUUUCAGCAAUCAAAAGCUUAUUACUCCUUAGAGGUUCUGAUGCUGACUUCUUAGUCCUGUUAGUAUAUACGUAGACGACAUCAUGAUUAUUGGAGUAAAUGAGUCUCAAAUUACACAAGUAAAAAUCCUCUUAAAUAAGAAGUUUAAGGUAAAAUAUUUAGGAGAACUCAAAUACUUCUUAGGAUUAAACUGGCAAGAUUUUCUCAAGGGAUUUUUCUAUCCCAAAGACAUUUCACUUUACAAUUACUAGAAUCUUGGCUGAAAACCAGAACCUGUACCCAUGGAUCCUAGUCUCAAACUGAGUAAGGCCAUUAGUGAGCCCUUGAAAGAUCCCUUUACGCAUCGAAGGUUGAUUGGCAUGUUACUUUAUCUUACUAUAACAAGAUUGGAUAUUAGUUUUAUUGUCAACAAGCUAAGCCAACUGUGUCUCAAACCUUGUUAAGCUCACCAUUUAGUUGUCCAUCACUUAUUGAAGUAUUUGAAAAAUGCUCCAGAAUAAGGUGAUUCUUCGACCAACCAAAAACUUUCAAUUGAAAGCAUUUGCAGACUCAAAUUAGUCAUCAUGUGUUGAUACUCGGCGUUCUACCUACAUGAUUUUGCAUUUUCUUGGGAGAUGCUCAGUGUCAUGGAAGUCCAAGAAGUAGAAUGUAGUCUCACGAUCUUCAACAGAGGAAGAAUAUUGAUCCAUUACGCUGACAUUGUGUGAACUGAUUUGGUUACAUUCUUUGUUAAAAGAUUUGCAACUUCCUUCCUCAAACAAUCUUGUUUUGUGACAAUCAAAUUGUUGUCCAUGUUGCCUCUAAUCCAACCUUCCAUGAACAAACGAAACAUAUAAAACUUGAUUGUCACUUCAUAAGAGAAAAAGCUCCAUUUGGUUUCUUGAAGAUUUUACGUAUCAAUUUUCGAAUUCAACUCGUAUAGAUACUCUCACAAAUUAGUCACUUACAUCUAUUGUGUUUUGUCUCUAUUGUUAUCCAAGAUGGGUUUAUUGAAUAUUUUCAAUCCAUCUCGAGAGGGAGUAGCACAUAUAAACUGAAGUUUGUUAUUCAGUUAUCAAUUAGUUUUAUCUCACACUCGAUGUAAUGCCCAUUAUACAUACGUGUGUGUGUAUAUGGUUGGUACGUAAAGUUAAUGAAAUAAGGCAGACUUAUUUUGACCCUUCUUCCUCGUUAAACCUUGUGUUUCUUUCUCCUCUAUUUCUUGUUAUGUGUAUGACUCGUGAUCAUCCUAUGUUAAAUACUAACCCUUCUUUCUAUACGAGUUCUAGAGCAAUAUAUAUAUAUAUAAAAGAAUGCUAAACUUUACAUGGUGGCUAUGAAUUGCCAAAUAUUAUUAUAUAAAGCCAAUUCUCCAAGGUUGUAUGAAUAUAUGUGAAUAAAUUAACUAACUUAGUACAUUUAACUUUUAAUUAUUAAACGUAGGCACGUGAGAUUAUACCAAAAAAAGAGAAAACUCAAAAAUCCUUUUAAUAAUAACAAUAAUAAAACAAUAAAUUCCUCAAAGUGGUUUUCAAGUUGAAUCUUGAAACCAUCCAACUGCUUAUUUAGUCAUUGAGUCGUGUGGUUCUUUUAUUUUUCAUAUUUUGGAAGAAAACCCAAACUCAUGGAUUCCAUUAAAACUUGUGGAUUUACCAUAUGCGGUUUCAUAAACUUCUUAGUCAAUAUGUGGAUUCCAUACAACAUUAUUUUUUGCAACAUCUAAUUUUAGGUUCUCUCUUUUUCUAUUUUUCUUUCUUUUUUCAUUCUUCUUUUAUACAAUCUUUACUGUUUAUAAAGUAAGCAAAUAUUUUCCAAUAACUUUAAUAAUUAACACUUUGCCUCUUUUUCUUUUUCGUUUUUUCUUUAUUUGCCACUAUCAAUAUUGUAAUAAUAAUACCAUUAAUUAUUACUUAAAAUAUUACAUGCACAUUUCAAACUUGAUUAUUUAAUAACUAUAUUUUCAUGAAUAUGUUUAAAUUAUAUACAUGAAAUUCUUGAUAGAUAAUUAUAACGUUGCACUAAAAAAAAUUCAGGUUAAACUAAUCAUUUACGUAAAAAUAUUUAUUGAAAACUAACUCUUCAAUUACAAAAUUUGAAGUGAUAUUUUCUAAUAUAUAAUUUAAUAUUAAAUUAAAAUAUUUAUAAACUCUAUCUAUCCAACCGUUUAAUAGACUUUCAUAGAUUUCUAUUAGUAUCUAUGAGGAGUAAUAUUUAUAGGUUCGUUUUUUAUAAUUUUUCAAUUUCAACCAAUUUUAUCUAAUUUAAUUAAUUUCUUUCCAAAAAAAUGGAAAUGAUUCUCCCCAAUAAUUCAAGCAUUAGAACUUCUGUACUACAAUCUCUAUCAAAUUAAAUGAGAAUUUUUUAAAAUACCAAAAGUGAAAAGGAGAGAUAGGGACAAGAAAAACAACUCUAACCUCAUUUCAUCUCAUAAAUAUCUCUAGGUUGAAAACCAACAAUAAAAUCUUUUAUUGAUAUAGGAAUACACUUUGAAACAUUCAAUGUCGAUAUUAGAUAUUUAUGAAUAUCAUUUUAUACAUACUCAAAAUAUAAUAAAUGUCAAAUAUUUAAUCCAACAUGAGUAAAGUUUAGAAGUAAAGACAACCUAAAAUAUUAAAGAGCGUUUGCAAAAAGAAAAAGUGGGUUCAUACCCUUACAUUUUCUAAGUUAGUUAUUGAAUAUAUCUAAUUACUCGUUAUUUUGUCGUAUUUACAAAAUAUAUAAAAAAGAUGGGUUAAGGGAGUGUUUUUUUCUAAUUCUUUUUUUGUUAGGUAAUGCAAUUUCUCAAAUAUACUAGUAAAUAAUUUUUGUAAAAAAAUUAAUGAAAAAGAAAAUAUUUAGUAAAAACUCACUAAAAUAAUUAUAAAAAAAAUGUUGCUACCAAUUUUAUCAUAAAAUAUAAAUAUAUUUUCAACUAUAUAAUUUUUGAGUUUGUGGGACGGACACAAUAGAGAGACAUUGAUAUUUAAUAAUGAGUAAACUAUGGGGAAUGAGGAGAAUAUAGUAAUUUAAGUUUGGAAAAUAAAAUAAUUAGUCCUUGAAAUCACAGGUAACGUUAAUAAAUAAACAACUAAAAGAAGAAAACAGCGUAAACGCCUUUUUCACAAAAUCCAGGAAUCCUUCUCCACCAAAGCACCUUGUUUUCUCCUCAAAACCAUGGCUUCCAAAAUCUUCCUCCUUUCCCUUUAAUUUUCCCCUUUCUUUUCCCCUCUCUCUAUAAAUACUCACAUCUCACCAAAAUUCCACAAACCCAUUACAAAUCUCUUCAAUUCCUUCUUCUUUCUUCUUCUUCCAUCAAUUCAAUUCACCAAACCUAGAAACACACACAGAGAGAGAGAGAGAGAGAGAGAGAACAAAAAACAGAGCAGCAUGUCUAGGAGCGCAGUUUGCAGAGCGUGGUUCGUGGCGGCGAGCAUCGGGGCAGUCGAGGCGUUGAAGGAUCAAGGGGUUUGCCGGUGGAAUAAUGUGAUUAAAUCACUUCAACAACAUGGGAAGACCAAAGUUAGGUCUUACUAUCAAGCUAAGAAGCUCUCUGCUUCUUCUUCUUCCGCCAUUGCUAACCAGAUCAAGAAGUCUAGAGAGGAUAAGAUGAGGAAAGUUAUGGAUUUGAGCUGUUUGGGACCUAGUACUAUUAGAUUCUAGGACAUGUUUUUGUUUAUGGGUUUAUAUGAAGAGUGUUUUGGGUCUUGGUCAUGUGGGGUAGAAGAAGAUAUAAUGUUCUUACCAAAAGAAAAAAAAAAGUACUUCUAGAGAAAUGAUAUAUAUAUAGGUUGUUUCUUCUCUUGUUUUUGUUUAUGUUUGUGAUGGUUUUGGGUUUGAAGUUUGGUAAUGAAGCUUCAAUUCCCUUCACUUUUUUUUUUGUAAAUAGGUCUCUGGACUCUGGAUUACAUAUUAAUGGACAUUCAAAUUCAAAUCUUCCUCUCUUCCAAAAUGGAGAUGGAGAAGAAUUCUCUGUUUUUUUUUUCUUUUCUUUCCAUUUCCCUUUGUUGGGACCAAGAAUGUUUUGAGCACACAGAUCAUCCAAGAUUUCAAUUUCAAAAUAAAUAAAUUAGCUAUUUGUUGAAAAAAUAAAUAUAACAUUAGAAAAGAUUAUAGACAACUUUGUUAUUUUUUUUGCAAUUUUGAAAAUGUAUAAGUGAAAUAAAUUUUAUUAUAAAAAAAAUACUUUUUUGUUACUUUUACAAACUCGCUAUUUUCUGUUGUCGUAAAACGGUUCGAUUUGUAGAUUAUUAUAUUUCAGAUUUUUGGUUUUAAAAAAUUAAACUUUUUGGAAAGUUGUUAGAAGAAAACAAGUUUUCAAGUAAUAUUUGUCUUUUAGUAGCAAAUAGUUUGGGAAAAUUUUCUAUUUUUUAAAAAAUUCCUUAUUUUUAAUUAAAAAUUAAAAAAUGAAUUAAUUAGCAAAUGAAACUUUCAUAUUUUUAAAACAACUCUAAAUUUAUUUUAGAUGAUAUAUAAUUAAAUUAGUUAAUUGUAAAAAUUAUUUAAUUAAAGUAUAAUAGUAGUUGUAAAUAUACCUUUAAAUAUUUAAAAUUUAAAAUUAAACCUAAUCAAAUAUAAAAAACUGUAUUAACAAUAAGUUUGGGGAUUUAAAUUUCAUAGUCUCAUCAAUUUUUUUACAAUUAUUGUAUGUUUGAUGAUCCAAUUUUAACAAUUUAGAAGUCUAAAAGUCCAACGGUAGUUAGAUCAAUCGAUGAUUUAAGAUGUUCAAACUGGUACGUUGUUUCCUCUUCUAUUAAUAUUCAAUUUUCACUCCACAGGUAAAAGGUGUUACAUAUUAUUUUAAACUUGCCUUCUUUUAUCAAUUUUGAAAUACUCAACCCUAAACAUUUUAAGUUCAAUUUUUGCUUUCUAAUAAAUCCGAUCCAUGAAAAAGGAUUACACUUUAAUGACAUUACUCAUCUUAAGAUAGAAUGUUUAGAUAUAAUAUACGGUCUUGAAAGAAAGAAUGAGAAUCAUCUAGAAAAGUUAUAAGAAACCUCACGAAUUAUUUUUAAAAAGAUAAUGUUUUAAUUUUAAUAUGUUGAGAUGAAAUCUCAUAUAUAUAUUUUUAUUCUUGAAUGUUAAGCUAAUUUUUGGGGAAGUUGCCAUUUUUAUUAGAUUAAAUAAAAUAUAAUUUCGGUCCAAUGUUUGGGCUUUGGUUUUUAGUUUAAUCUAUGUACCUUUAGUCCCACGUUUUCUCCCAACCUUAUAUAAUAAAAAGUGCUAAAUAAAUUAUCACACAAAAUUACCAAUUUGGUCUUCUUCUUCUUCUUCUUUUCUUUAUUUAUAAAUUAAUUAAAUUAAAAUAAAAUAGGUGAAUUUGUUUUAGAACAUAAAACAUCUAAAACUACCCAUUUCAAUUCCAUUGUUUUAAUACAUAUACUCAAAAAGAAAAUAUUACUUAUUGAUACUUAGUUUAGUAUGUGAUAUCCAAUAAAAUAACAUAAUGGGUAUCAAUCAAAUUAUUAUGCCAACACGUUGAAAAUACAAUCGAAUAUUUCUCUCUCUAAAUUAUUCUUUAUAUAUAAAUAAGAGAUAAAAGACAAAGAAUUAUUGUUAGAAAUAGUGAUAGGCUCAUAGCUAACAUAUUAGUUGAAGUCAAAUAAUGAAGUUAAGGUGUGAAGAAAUGAAUUGUACUGAAUUAAAUAAGAUAUUAAGUAGUUGAGGGGAUGUGUGGUGACAGACAUGCCCAUUUUUGAGAUCUAGAGAUGCAAAUCAAAAAAUUUCAAACCUUACAGAUAAAUGUAACAAUCAAUGUACCAUAUCUGACUAAUGGGUCAUAAAUUAUUUGGGAUAACCACAUAAUGUGUUAGACCAUUUUAGGAUUGUGUGGUUAUCCCAAGUAAUUGUAAAUAAAAUAAACUAAAUUUUGUGGCUCAUAGAAUCUAUUACUAGCUAACAAUUGAGUUUGAUGAAUUUUUACAACAUUAUUUUAAAUUAAUAUAAUUUAAGGAGAAGUAUCGAGAUUAGGUCAAAGUACCAUUUCGAUCUCAUUGUCGUUUUUUUUGUUUUUUCUUUUUCUUUCAAAUGGAUUCAAUGAUUUAUGAAUAUAUUUUAAAAUUUAUGGUAAAUGUGAAAGUGGAUUAUUUUUUUAAAAGAAUUUAAGGAGUGAAUUUAAGAUUUAUUAAAAGUGAAUGGACUAAAAUUGAAUUUUAAAAUAUAUACAUACUAACAUUCAACAAACUUCCAAGUAUAAGUAUCGAAAUGGUAUUUUAACCAUAAAUGUUAUGUCAACUUUAAAGUAAUAAACUAAAUUGUUUGAAAAUGUUAUUAGAUAAUAUGAUAUUUCAUCUCAAAACCAAUUUAAACUAUAACAAAAUUGGUGGUUCAUUAUACAACAUACAACAGUAUAGUCAAAUUAAGCUGCAGAGAAAAACAACACUACAAGAAAUCAGGGCAUUCCCGAUGUCAAAAUGGGUGUCAAUGAAGUGUAUGUCGGGAAUGUCCCACUAUUUCUUGAUGCCGCUAGGCAAGCGUCAGCAGAGAUGUCCAUUCCCUACGUCCACAUUUAGCUAGGCAUCGAGAAUGGUCAACUAACCCCCAACAUCAAUGUUCAUGGCAUUGAGAAAAGAGAUAUUAUUAUUUUAUUUUUUAAUUAUUCCUGACGUCAUGCUAACACACGUUAGGAGUGAUGUUAACUAUUCCCAACAACAUAAGUGAAACGUUAGAAAUGGAGGCACCUUUUUUUACGUUGUACUUUACGGCGUUGGGAAUAGGUGGAUCUUCUGACGUUCAUAAAGUGAGUCGGAAGAUCCCCUACAUAUUUGAGUUUUGUAUUCACAUAACACAUAACUCAAAUUGAAAGGAAAAGAGGAAAAGACCGAGAGAGAGAGAUCGCCGUCCAUCCGUUGUCGUCUGCUCUGCUCGUCGCCGACACCCCCUCUGUCUUUGUCUCUUUCACAACCUCUUGGUUGGAGGUAAUUCAAAGUUUAAUAUCUUAAAUAUAAUCCCUUUUGAAUUUGUUCUUAAUUUCCUUUUCUAUCAUUGGGUUUCUUUCUAACUCUCCCAAUAUUUCUUCUUGAUUUCUGUUUUUGUUAUAUUCAACAGUUUGAAAUGUGUUGAUAUCGCUCUUUAUGUUAUUGGCAACAAUGGUGAGUUUAGAAGGUAAAGUAUAUGAUUUUAUUUUUCUUGUUGUUUACUUAUUGUUUAGUGUGUGCUUGUGGUUUGAAUUUUUGUAUACGUUUGUUUGCACACAACAACUGCAAAAGAGGAGGAAGUUGAAGAAGAUGAAAUGGAUGGUUACCCAAGCAGGAAGAUGACGACAACGAGAAGAUGUUUCUUUUUUUUUUUAAAUAGAGGAUAUCCAGAUGCACGAGAUAUAGCGUCGGGAUAUCCUCUCUCGAAAGACUUUUUCCAACUUCGAACUCAAUGCGAAUUUAUGUGUCAAAAAAUUAUUUUCCGACGUUUUUUCUAUUUCUCCCGAUGCUUUUGUGUGUUGGGAGAUCCUCAUUUUCUUGUAAUACGAUCAUAAAUACUACAAUGUACAACUUUUUUUGCAAGAUUAAUAAAUGUUGAUUUUUAUAUUUUUUGAAAUGUAUGACAUUUGUAAGUGUCACCAAACUAUGUAUGGGCGGAUCAAUUAAGGGGUCGAGGGGAGCACGUGCCCCCCAUCAUAUUUCCGGUUUUUGUAUUUUAAUAUUAAUUUUGAAGUGUUAAAUUAUAAUAUAUCUUAAAUAAUGCUUUAAUUUUACUAUAUUUUGCAUUUGGUAUAGUAGUUGUGGCCCUCAUUUAAAACUCUAGGGUUGUAGGUUCAAACCCCUACAUAUGAUUUUUGGAUACGCUGCUAAGUGACUAUUAAGAUUGUAAUUAGGUCGCUAAGUGACUAUUAAGAUUGUAAUUAGGUCGCUAAGUGACUAUUAAGAUUGUAAUUAGGUGAUGAACCAGUAAGUAUUUCAAUUCAAGGUGAAAUAUUGAAGGAUAAGAAGUUUAAUUUUCAAAUUGAUAAAAAAAGUUAAAGAAUAGGAGGGUAAUAUUUUUAUGUUACCAUAUAACAUUUUCAUUGUUCUUCUCGUCCUUCUAAAUCCUUCUUUUCCUUUUCAUUGUCCUUUUCAGCCUUAAAUUAUAUUGUUGUUGAAGUAAUUUGGGUGAUAUGUGUAGCAAAAUUGCUUCACCUUUGGACCAGUCAUUAAUUUUAAAAUUGAGCGUGUCAAGAGAUUCAUUUAAUAAUGCAUAGCAAAAGACGAAAAGGGUGACAAUAACAAUGCCAUUGUUUUGUUCUAUUUCAUAUCUUUUAACUUUUUAUUCCAUAACCCUAUGAUACUUUGCAUGGCUUCUCGAAUGAAAAUGCAAAGAAUGCUCCCUUACUUAACGUCAACAACAACAACUUAGUUUACAUAAAAACCAAGUUGGCCAUUGACCACGACAUAUCAUAUAUUCUCUCCGAGUCAAUAACGCACCAAAUGCAAGUAGUACAAUUUGAGAAUUACCAUCAAUAGUAUGCAGACAAACGUGUUAGCGUACCCAGGUAUUUAUUCUUCAUGAAUGCACUAUCAACUGAAAUUAUUGGUAAACAAUAAUUCUAUGCAUCGAUAGAAGCAACAAGAUUCAUGAAAUAAUACUUAAACCUACCUUCGCUUUCUGCUUCUUUGAUAGUAUAUGUUCAUGUAAAUAGUGAAACGAAAAAUGAGCUACGCUUGAUAACUUAGAAUGUAUCAUACUUGAAUUACAUUGUAUUUAUGAAAGCAUGUGUACUUGAAUUAUUCGAAUCAAUGUAGUAGAGAAUGUUGACAACAUGGCAUUAUAAGGCCUCUGGAGUACCCCUAAUAGAAUUCAAAGCAAUUUCACACCCUCUCCGAGCCUUGUCACAACUAGCUUACAUACACUCCCAUGAUGCAUUUUUAUACAAUUAACAACAUCAGAAAAAUGGCUUUGUACACUAGAAAUAAUCUAAGAUGUUGCUUGCCUAAGAUCAUCUUUUACUAUGCAUGUCAACCAGCACACGGGUGCUGGGUAUUUGUGAAUUUACGAACUAUCCAAAUAUCACUUUUAUUAAAUAUAGAAUUAUCACGUAAAUACCAAGGACAUGACGGAUCCUUAUAUCAAAUAUCUAAUGAGAUACAAUUCGACCUAAUCAUAAUAAGUUCAAAACUAUUGUUAAUAGCAAACAAUAAAUAGCUUUUUAGUUUCAAUAUUGAUUUGCUUAUAACAUUAAUCCUACUUUAAUAGGAAUUUCAGCGUGAGAUGAUUCAAAUGCAUCAAAGUCAAUAAUUUUGGUGCCAUGAUGUGAAUGUUAAGAUCUAGGUAUUUCACUAUUUAAAUACGCUAUACUUCUAGCAACACUCGCUAAUAUAGAGUUCAGCAAUCACAAAUAAAUCCUUAUAGAAGAAUUUCGAUAGAACUAACAUAAGCCAAGAAACAUUUUUAUCGUUCUCGCCAAUUUGAAUGAGAUUGGAAUGGUUGCGACCAUCCUAGUAAAUUGUCAAACGAGAAAUAGAUAGAUUGGCAAAUGGAAAAAGUUUACCUUGAAUAUAAUACAUUCAACAGAUUGUUGAAACGAAGUUGCAAAUAAAACAUAGCCCGAUAAUCAUGAUACUAGGAAGUUAUGAUCCAUCUACCAUAAAAAAUAGUCUUUACUCGUUGUAAAUUAAUAACAAAAACUUCUUGAUUACAAUUCUAUUCUUGUCUUCCAAUUGUAUAAUAGACACGAACUUUUUAAAAUAUAUUGCUAUAGGUCGAUCUAGUACAUAUAAAAUAAUUAACAUGCAAAUCAUUUCAAACAAGUAAAAUAUAGUCUAAAAUUAGUUUAAAUACAACUUUAAUUAAAAUAAUAAAAACGUAUAAGAGAAACAUACAAUUUCCAAAAUCCAACUUUAAAAAUACAAAUAUAUAUUAAAAAUACAUAUAUUCAAAAAUUUAUUAAAGAUAUAUCAUACAACUACUAAAUAUCUUUAAACUUGAAUUAAAAAUGUAUUUAAAAUACAACUAGAUCCAUUGAGAUUCAGUUCUUAAAUUUCGAUUCAUUUACGAUAUAAUCUCAUAACCAAUAAUUGAGUAAAAUACACUGUGUUUCAUAAAAUCGAUCACCUUAUCAAUAUUCACUAUUACAGUUACAAAAUCGAGAUACAUUUAAAAUGCAUUGUAUGCAGUAAAGAUGAUUUACCCACAACCAUAGGUAAAAAUGGAAUAUUUAGAAAACUAGAAAUGUGGGUGUCACAACUUUGUUAAAAGUCUUAUACUCGUCGGUUAUAUCUAUAUUUGAAAGGGGCACCUCCAAUUUUGUCAUUGUAACAAAUUUCACUCUAUAUAAAUGGUGUGAUUAUGGCAACCUAGCCCACCUCCAUAUACAUCUAACUCAAACAGCCCAUCAAUCAUAACCAUCACCCUAAUUUCAAAGAAGUAGGAAAAACAAGAAAACUAGAGGUUGUUUGAGUCAUAACUAACUCACCUUUUACUGCAACAAAUAUUAUUAAAAGUCUUCAAUUAGCUAUAUAAACGACACUAUUUCAAAGCCGUAUCUGAUAUUGUAUAUAUUUACUAUUUGCUACACUUUUAAUACUAUUUUACAUUAUGUCGUUUUUCUAUUCUUUUCUACAGUAUUUACUAUUUCCUUCUCAAAUUAAUUAAAAUAGUUUUCACCUUAAUUUCAUCCCAUUGCAAUCCAAAGUAAAAUAUAAUUUACACUCCAAACAUAAACUAUUGUACUUCGAUUAUAAUAAUUUAGGACGAAUAACCAACUUUUGGACCCAAACAAUGCCAUCAAUUGUAAAUUGAAAAAAAAAAAAAAAACCACAUAUGAUUAUCCCCAUCCUCCUCCGACCUCCAUAGCUUCCCUCUACACCGAUCUUCCCGUUUCCUCAAUGGUUCAACGAUCUAUAGCUCCAUCGUCCCCGCACCAUCAUUCUCUUUGAGUUCAACAUUUUAGAUAAGUUUUUUUUUCUCUUUCUAUUUUCUUUUUGUUGAAAAAAUUGGCACUAACUAAAGAGACACUCACUUGGAAGAAAGAAAGUUUUAUUGAGACAAUUUACAAAUGAUGGACACUUUUAGAGGGAACACUGCUCACUCUCACUUAAAAUUUCUUACUAACUCUCUUUCUCUCUUCCUCAUCCACUAGGAUAGUGUUGAAAAAUGUGAGUAAUUGAAAAUAAAAUGGAAAUGAGAACUGUGAAGCGUGAAACAGUAUUUGGAUUGAAAACUGUUGGAAUGAAAAUUAGUUUUGUAAAACAAGUCGAACCUAAUAAUACACACACACUCCAAACAUGGAAUUGGGAUUAAAUUACAUUACUAACUCAUUCUAUUACGGACCACCAAAGACCCUCUAUAAAAGGGAAGGAGGUCUUCCAUUUCAUCAUGAACAACUCACCCUUCACCAGAGAAAUAAAAUUGUGCUAUAAGGAGGCAUCACUAUCACUAAGAUAGUAUCCAAGCACAACAUUGCUGAUCCUUUAUAAAGAUUCUCAUAGUUAAAGUAUUUGACAGUUAUUUAUAGAAUCCAGACCUAAAAGAUAUGCAUCAUAGACUGAAGUACAAAAUAAUUAAUUUAUCUUUAAAAAUUCGUUAAACAUUAGAGAGAAUAAUAUUUGAGAAGAUGAUCAUAAGUAACUAACACGAUUUUGAUCUAUUUGGAUCAUAUAUUUUAUUUUUCAAAAUAAAAAAAAAAGAUAGUAAACUCACUUUCUAUAGAAAAAAAAUCUUUUUUCUUUCAAUUUGUAAUCAGAACACAAUAAUAUAUAUAAUAUAACAACAAAUAAAAUAAAAAAAAUAAAAAAACAAACGAAAAAGAAAAUCCAAUUGAAAGGCAAGAAAAUGCCAAAGAUAAGAUAUGUUGAUUCAAAAAUCAAAGUGGUCGUGGUUGGGCUUUGGAGAAGUAAGCAACGCCGUAUAGAGGCGGAGGCGAUCCUCCCCCAAGGAAGAGCACCGUGAGAGUGGGCGGCGGGGCCGAAUAAAGGACAAGGACGUGAGUGUGAGACGAUGGCGAUAUCGGCGCCAGGCUAGCUGGAUGGCAACAGCAGCCCAAGUGCGCCAGCCUGGGGAGUAGUAGCGGGCACUGCGCUUGACCUUGUCAUUGACAAAGGUGUAGCGGAAGUGCUGGGUUACAUACUUGACAUCCUCGGCCUCCAAGCUGAAGGCUUCAGUGGUCUCCAGUGUCACGAGAGUAAAGGAGGAGGGUGGAAGGCGCUCUAUGAAAGGGCGGCGGAGGCACCAGGAUAGAAGCUCGUCGCCGCUGAAGUUGCCGGGGCCCAACAUGCAGCAGCUUUUUACGCCGUCGCGUAGGACUUGGCUGCUUUGGAGAUGCCCUCGCACUACGAAUAGCAUUCUUUGUACUGGAUCUCCUUCUCUUGUUAUCUAAACAUCCACAUUACACAAUUUUCAACUAACAUUAACAACACUCUCAUUUUUUAAUCAACUUCCCUUUAAAUUCUUAACAAAUUUUUUUUUUAAAAAAAACUACCCUUUUGAAUUUUGGAUUUUUAGAAACACUUUUAGAAGUGAAUAAUAAAACCAAAAAAAAGAAGAAAAAUUAGGGUUUCAGUUGAAACUCACGGUUUCGCCCUUAGUGAAGAUGAGGGACUUGACACGAUCACAAAUGUUCUCAAGAACAAGAUCAUCCAUAUGUUGAAACAAUGGCACCUGCCUGACUAGAUCCAAGCAAAGGUGAUACUUUAUGUCUCGUCUAAGCCCUUCCGGUAGGUUUUUUAUCAUCUCGCACUCGUCCACACCCCGCAUCGCCGCCCACCGUUGGCGUUCAUAGUUCCGAACACGCUGCCGAAACCCUUGUGGCAGCCUUCGCUUCCUCAUCCACCACUCUAGGUUCCUCAUCUUCAGCUGCAUUCCUUGUUUUUUUGACGUUGUUGCAUGUAGAAACACCUUCGUAAACACAUAAAUACUACCAAAUUGGCUUCAUUUUCAUUGGGUUUUUUUCUUUUUAAAUUCAACAGAAACUAAGAACCAGCUGACUUCUAAAACACAAAAAAUUAAAAAUUAAAAGUAACAAAAGAUUUAUUUCCAAUUGUUAAAACUGAACCUGAAUAUUAAAAGCUAAAACAUUUAAUUACAAAAAAAGAAAAGACAAAAAAGGGUACCUUGAUAUUUCCAAUCAACAUGGUGACCAAUAAGAGUCCACUGGUGAGAACAAUGAUAUUGAACACUACUUCCAGCCAUUCAGUUGUGCUUUCCAAAUUCCCAAAGGUACUGUCUCCUCACACACAUCCAAUUCCACAAAAUUAAAAUAUAAAAUUAUAUAAACCCCAUUGUUUAAAAUAAAAUUAAACGUUUGUUUUUAAAUGUCAGAUAUUUUAAAAUAAAUUUUCUUCUGUAUAAGCUUAUGUAAUCGAAGUUGAUGCAUGAAGAUAAAUAUGCAAUAUAUAUCUAAAAGAAAAUGGAAACGGCGGAAUUAGAUACCUAAGAGUCAUGAGGCCCCAAAAGAUGGGGAAAAGGAUUUUCUCCAACCGACUUUGAUUGACAACAAGUUGAACAGUCCAUUUAUAAGCUCCAUAAUCAAAGUUAUCAGCAGUAUCUAAACACAUGAAUUUUGAUAGCCUAUUGUUUGCCCAAUCAAACCUUCCUCCAUCUCUUCCCAUUCUCAUAUUGUUUGGUCCAUAGAAGAUUGGGUCUUUGCAUGAUAACAACCUCAGCCCACAGCUGUUGGUUGUUGCUGAUCUACAUUGCUCUUUUAGACAUUUUGCUGCUCUUUGUACCCCUAAUAGAUACCAACAUGCACCUGCAGCCUUCAUUCGUGUAUAUACAUUAUAUACACUUUUCCAAAGCUAUUGUGUUGCUUUUGCAAAUGAAAAUUUCAUAUUUUGAUUCCAAAACACACACGUGCUUAUGGUUUUGCAGGAAAAUAAGCAACAGAAAUAACAGGGAAAUUUAAAGAUAGACAAUAAAACUAAAAACAUAAGAAUUAAUAAUCAAUGUGAGAAAAAACUCCAAACUUGAGAAAGAAUUAUGUGUUAGAAAAUUUCUGCUAGGGUAAAAGAUUAUUACAAUAUUUUUCCUAAUCUCAGAUUGAAACAAGAAAACUUUCUUAAAGCAUUUUUAUAACUUCGCCAUCUCACGUUUUUUCAGUUUUUAAAGUAGAGAAUAUAAAAAGAAAAUUUAAUUAAAGUUAACACAGUCAAGCUUUAAAGAGUUUAUUCUAAUUGGAACAAUUUGAAAUAAAAAACAUAACGUUAGAUAAGUACUGCACUUCUAAUAUUUUGCUAAAUCUUUUAAAUUUAAUGUAAUUAAAAUCAGCAUCCUAGAAUCAUGAAACUAGCUUAAAUAGGGAUGGUUCGUGUUGGAAAGAAACUUUUUGCUCAAGCUACUUGUAUUGUUGUUGAUCACUUCAAUCUAAUCUAGUUCUUUAAUUUUGUGAUGUUGAUUCAAAUCUCAAACUAACACUCAUAUUUAUACACAAAUGAUAGCCCUAUACACAAUAUCUAGUAGUUAUAAAUGACUUUCUAAAAUAUUCUUUACACAAUUACGUUUGUGGUAUCGUAUUACAAAUAGGGAAAUCUUUUUAGAAAGUUGUAAGAGAUAG
rnacentral:lncRNA from 1 species